rnacentral:lncRNA from 1 species
UCUGACGGCGCCUUUUCUCCCAAGCAACAUCUCUUGGUGUCUCACGCAUUGAGAGUUGCUUUGAUAACCGCUGUUUUGGUUUCUGCGAGGCUAACGGGGCCACUAGUGGCUCAGGAAGUGAUGGUGAUGAAGACGAGAUUGGUAAGGUAAGGCCUUCUCUUCUCCUCACCAUUUUUAUAUCUUGUAAUGCAAGGCAGGGGAUUUGUUCUUAGAAUUGGGAAAGAUGCCUUCUGGUACAAGCUAGGGCUUAUUUUACUACCUGUUUUCUUUAGGAGAAUAUCAAAGCUUUGGAGUUUGCUUAUGAGUCUAGAUGUAUGUUCUUCAUCUGCUGGCCGCGUGUGAAACCAAUUAACACGGCCAACAAAGAAGCUUCUACGGGUCGGGUUGAUCAGAAAAUCUUCUGUAUACUCUUUUUCUACCUGAAAAUUUUGCCAAACCCGACCACAUAAACUCUCACAAAAAGAGACUCAAAGAGCCUUUUAAUGGAGGAUUUGAGAAAGUAGUUUUCACCAUUGAUUUAUGCAAUGGAGUCAAAAGCUAUUUUCCUCCAUUGUUUAAAUUUGAUAUACAAAAGACUCAUCCUCAUUUAUUUAGGGAUCUUUCUUUGUUUAGAUUCUUGACUCCCAAAAAAGAAAACGUGUUUCAUAAUUAUCCUACUCUACAAGAAUGUACAUUGAUCAAACCUGUUAUUUUUUCCUAUUUUGAGAAUCCAGUCAAUAUAGUUUUAAGUCAUGAAUUUUAUUUCAUUAGUGUAAGAUUAAUAACUCAAAAGUAUAUUUUUUCUCUCUUCAAAGUUCUAACCAAAUUUGCUUAAAAUAGUUUUCUAAUAUUAAUCCUCUCCACCAUGGAUUUCUCUAACUACUUUCUGUUUCUCUUUCAGACACAACACCAAAAAAAUGAGAAAAAUUCAAUGACCAAGGAAAACGAACGGUUUGUUUUUGUCUUGUUGAGGUUUCUGCUCCUGUUUCCAUGGCUCUGAUCAUACAUUGUUAGGUUUGGAGAGAGGAGAAGAAACAAGCCUCCAAGUUUUCUCUCCUGGUUUCUUGAGGUAAUAAUAAUCCCACUAAGAAAAUUAACCUUUUAUGUUCCUGAAGAUUUAAAACACGUAAUUUAUCUAAUGUUUCAGCCAUGAACGAGAAAACGAGGACCCUGUGUUCCCUCCUCUGUUUCUUCUCUGUUCUUCUAGUUUCUAUCUCUCAAUCUAACGGCCAAGAUCUCGCGUUGGCAUGCGGGGCAUCAGAAUCAUCUGCUGAUCCAGACAAGAAGAAAUGGGAACCCGACACCAAGUUCUUGAAAACACCAAACACGGAUCAUGCAACAGCAACGUAUCAAGAUCCAUCUCUUCUCUCAACGAUUCCUUAUAUGACAGCAAGAAUCUUCACAGCUCCUGCCACUUACGAGAUCCCGGUUAAAGGAGACAAGAGACAUUUGCUCCGGUUGCAUUUCUACCCAUCAGCAUAUACGGGACUCAACAUUGAUGACUCUUACUUCUCUGUAGCAGCUAACGAUGUCACCCUUCUAAGCAACUUUAGUGCGUCCAUCACAUGUCAAGCCUUAACACAAGCUUACCUCGUUAGAGAAUAUUCUCUUGCACCAACCCUAAAAGAUGCCUUGACCAUCACGUUUACUCCUUCGGAUAAACAUCCUAAAGCGUUUGCUUUCAUAAACGGUAUUGAAGUCGUUGAGAUGCCGGAACUGUUUGAUACAGCUGUUCUCGUUGGGUUCACAGACCAAACAGCUGAUGCUAAGUCCGCGAAUCUUCAGACAAUGUUUAGGCUUAACGUUGGUGGUCAGGACAUUCCCGGAAGCCAAGACUCUGGCGGGUUAACAAGAACUUGGUACAACGAUGCGCCUUACAUAUUCAGCGCAGGUGUGUAUUUUUUUUUUGAAUACCAGGAGGUUCGAGGCCAAAGCCUGUAAUACUCUUAGGCAUAAAAUCACAACAUUUAAUAUUAGUUUCGUCCUAGUGCAGGUCUUGGUGUUACCCUUCGAGCAAGCAACAACUUUAGGAUUGAUUACCAGAAAAUGCCGGUCUCGACCGCACCACCUGAUGUCUACAAAACAGCUAGAUCACAAGGACCAAAUGGAGAUCUCAACGUUAAUUCUAAUCUCACAUGGAUGUUUCAAGUUGAUACUAACUUCACUUACAUCAUGAGACUCCACUUCUGUGAGUUCCAGCAAUCUAAAGUUAAUCAAAAAGCUUUCAACAUAUACAUAAUCUUUCUUGAACAUUUGUUUUGUUUACCUGUUGUAAUUACAGGAUGCUCUCUAACAGGGAAUCAGCUAGACGAUCCAGAAGAAGAAAGCAAGCACACCUUAGUGAGCUAGAGACACAAGUAUGUUUAAUCUCCCCCCACAUUUGUUUUCUUUCUCAGCUCACUUAUUAUUAACAAUCUCCAUCUCUCUGGUAGGUUUCACAGCUGCGUGUAGAGAACUCAAACCUCAUGAAAGGUCUCACUGACGUAACUCAGACUUUCAACGAGGCAUCUGUAGAAAACAGAGUUCUUAAAGCCAAUCUAGAGACGCUACGAGCUAAAGUAAGUAAAAAAAAUCCAUUUCCAUCUCCUCUCAGAUUAAAAAGUUAACAAAACUCAUUUAACAAGACUCUUCUGCUGAAACCUUUUUUCAGGUGAAAAUGGCUGAGGAGACAGUGAAGAGAAUCACAGGCUUCAACCCAAUGUUCCACACUAUGCCUCCGGUUUCAACCGUCUCUAAUCCUUCAGAGACAUCGAACUCUCUAGACACAAGCUCCCAAGUGACUACACCGGAGAUCAGCUCAAGCAGCAACAAAAGCAAGGCCUUGAUCGGUUGCAAAAUGAACAGAACAGAGUCGAUGAGGAGAGUUGCGAGUUUGGAGCAUCUGCAGAAACGUAUUCGCAGCGUUGGGGAUAAGUAGCUUUGUGAAGAAGAAGAAGAAGAAGAAGAAGAAAGUUGAUUUGUAUAACAUUAUCAAGAAUAGAGAGAGGCAUUGAGACAAAAGUGUUAUAUGUGUUGUGUAAAGAAUUGUCUGACCUAGUUUAUCUCUGAUUAGGUCCCUCUUAAAUGUGUUUUCAAUCUCUUUUUCAACAUCUACAGUUUGUAUCUUGUAAACUACUACAAAGUUAUCAAACUCAAAGCUUCAUUGGUACUGUAAAGACAAUUAGAAAAGACCAUUUCUUGGUAGUGAACUAGUAGAAUUAAUAAUGUUUUUAUCUGCAAUUAGAUAAAUUUUGUAAAUUUUUAAAACAUUUUCAUUAAUUAAUAUAAUAAGUUAUAUACUGUUAUGAUACAUUAACCGAAAAUAUCUGACCGAUUAAAUAUUAUUGGUUGAUAGUUAUUGAAAUAUGUAUAUAUUAAAAUAAAUAAUAAAUUUGAUUAUAAAUAUUUAUUAUAUUUUACAUGCAUAAAAAUUUUGAAAAUAUUUUUCAAGAACUGAUAAAAUAUUAUCUUUUCAUUAUUCACUACUUAUAAGAAAAUAUUAGCUAAUAAUUUGUUGACAAACAAAAAAGCUAAUAAUUUUAUUAUUUUAACUGAAUAAAAGAAUAACUUUUCCAUGUCAAAAAAAAAAAAUAGCUAACAAUUUUAUUAUAUUUUUAUUGGAUAAAAGAAUAAAAAAAAACAGAGAUAACGUUGGGACCAGAAGAAGAAGAAAAGAUUAGAAGAGAGCAGUAAGUAAUGGCGACAUCGGUUGCGACUCUAUCUUCUCCGCCACCAGUUACUCUGCAUCUCUCUUCAUCUCGCUCUUCCUUAUUCUCCAACUGUUUCAUAGCGACCACCCGAAGACCAAAGACCCGUUCUUUGGUGGCGAUUCGACCGGAGCAGAGGAGAAAGUCGCUCACUUGUAAUGCCCUGUUUGGUCUCGGUGUCCCUGAGCUUGCUGUGAUUGCUGGCGUCGCCGCGUUGCUUUUCGGACCUAAGAAGCUUCCUGAGAUUGGCAAGAGUAUUGGCAAGACCGUCAAGAGCUUUCAACAGGUUUGCUGUCCGAUUAUUAGAAAAAAACUUAUAUCAUUCGGAAUCUUUCAACUAUAGUUUUGGUCUGUGUCUUCACAUGAUGUGUAAAGCUUGUUGAUUGUAGUUGGAAUUGAUGUUAAAAGGUCUCAAGGAGAAGUGUGUUUUUUUGGGGAAUUUUAUGUUUCAAGUGCUUAGUAGUAUGAUUCAUGUCUGAAUUUGUUAUAAUUGAUAAGAACACUCAGAAGAUUUGAAAUUGAAUGUGUGUAAAACAGUUCACUAUUAUACAAUAAGCUCAUUGAUAACUUUGAUGUAUAAAUCAUUUUGUUAUGUAGGUUAAUAAUCUCUUUCCAACAAGCUGCUGGUAAAUUCGUUAAUUGGAGUGAUAUUAGAUUUAUAUUUUCUAUAGAAGUUACUUGAUAAUUCUCAGAUAUAUAGCUUCUACUUGUAUGUUUUGUGUUCCUUUCAGCUCUUCUCGUCUUUAAUAUUUGCAUUGAUGAUGGGCUUGUGGGGGGGUUUUGUAAUGAUGCAGGCUGCAAAAGAGUUUGAGUCUGAGCUUAAGACAGAACCAGAACCAGAAGAUUCUGUUGCUGGCUCGUCGUCUCCAGUAGCAAUGAGUAACAAGGAAGAGGAAAAAACUGAGGUUUCGUCAAGCUCAAAGGACAAUAAUGUAUGAAAGAAUGAUGAGACUUUUUUUUUUUUUUUUUGCUUUGUCUGUAGUUAAAUGAGUUUAGAUCAAAUACUCUUUGUUGAAGGAAGCAGGCUUGUCUUCCUAUGAAAUAUGGUUCCAUGGUGUUUGAAUCUAUAUUAGCUAUAUCUUCUUAAGAAUAUAGCAAACCUUGCAAAUCAUUCAAUUUUUAACAUCAGAUGAACCUAAAGACAGAGGCUGCAUAAACAGAUUCAAGAUGUUACUCAAAUGAGUGGAUCUGAGAGACGAAAACAAAAAAUACAAAAUUUCUCAUGACACAGAGAGUAAUUUGUCUACAUGAUUUUUAAUUACUGAGCUAGUUUCUGUCUCUUUAUCCUCUCUAACGCACCCAGAGUCUUCUCACCUCCUUCCUCAGCUUCUUCCUCCUCUCUCUUUCUUGCAAGUCCUCCAAACACAGCAGCAGGGACUUCCUUCUGAGCAAUCUCUACUCUUUCUUCCCCAUCAGACGCAUCCUCAUCAUCAUCGUCACUCUCUUCCGGAAGCUCAAUAUCUUCAGCCACUGGCCUCAUUCUCACCAGACUGUGAGAUGACCCCCGCGCUCACAAACCCAACUCUUCUCCCACCAACCGUGGUAGACACUGGAGCCGCCAUGAGCUGCCUCUCCAGCGCCGCCAUCUCGUCAUCCGGCAAACCCGCCUUCUUCAGCUCAUCUUUCGCCUCCUCCACGUCCACCAUCUUGUCCCUCUGCAUCAUGUUCUCCGGCAGAAUGAAAUGAGUCUGGCUGUAACUAGCGGAAACGCUUCGUUUGAUCCGUAGCAUCUCUCUGUACGUGUCCUCGUUCCCGUGCUGCACCUCGAACUCGUGCCACCUGCUCCAAAACUCCGGGUCUGAUCUUGGAUCAGCGUACUGAGAGGCGUACUUGUAGACUGCACGAGCACGGUCGAUCUCUCUCUCCCAAGCUUCUCUCCAGCUCUGCGAACUGUAUGCACAUGAUCUUCACGUCAUUGUGUGGGAGACCAGAAGACUCUAUCGCUUGCUCGUAUAUCUCCCUUGUUCUCGCGACGCCGAAUAUCUCAGCUGCACGAGAAAUGUAUAUCUCAUACAUCUCCAGCCUCUGGAGCUCUGGAACCUUCUUGGUUGCUUCCUCGUAAACCUUCAUGGCUCGCUUGGCCAGACCGUAGUCCUCUUCUAGCUUAGCGUAGUGUAGAUAUAACGUCCUCACAGCAUCAGAUGGAGCCUGAAACAAAUAUAAAGACAAGUUAGAUCAAGAAACAGCCUUUGAACCAAAAAGAAUGUGUUAAGCUUACCAUUGAGAUAGCAUGUUCAAACAACUCUCUAGCCCGCUCCAGCUUUGUGUUACCAUACCUUUUGACGAACUUUGUAAGAUAAGUUACCCAAAUGUCUUUGACGUGAGGAUACAUGAACAUCUUGACGCGUCUCUCAUAAACCUUGAACGCAUCUUCAAAAUACUUAUUCUCCUCGAGGAUGAAAGCGUAGUUGAGUAUCUUCCGGAUUAGAGAUUACGUACUGAUUUCUAGUGACCGAUUGGUUAGUUUUACGAAACCAAUCACUUGCACAGUUGCACAUCACUAGCUAGGUAGCCGAACGUUGAGAAGGCCCAUUUCAUUUCUUCAUGUUCCUGGCCUGACGAAAGGUGAGAGAAAUGAUGUAAGCUCGUGUGAUUGGUGACUUUGGUGUGUCUGUAAUACUGGAGCUUUUGUGUUGAUGCUGAAAUGGAUUUUUGGGUUGAUUGGUAGUUUGAAUCUUAAGUGCACAAUAUGAAAUUUAUUGUUACUUAUUUCUCUCCAUUAUUACGUAGAUCAAGUAAAUGAUUAAUACACAAGUAAAAUACGGUCAAAAAAUUCUUCUGAAACCACUCAUAUAAUAGAUCCGUGCAUUUGCAUAAUACAAGGCUCUUAUGAAAAACAUACUUCAAAAUAUUUUUCAUCGUAACCAUCAUCAAGUCCACGACCAUACAUUAAAAGUCUAUAUGCAUACAGUACACGAAUAAGAAAGGCCGUCCUCUCUUCAUCUUGUUACUUUUGCAAAACUAUGUAGAGAGAGAGAGAGAGCCAUGAUGAUCUCUUUCUCUAUCUUUUUUUUUUUUUUCUCCCAAAACUUUCCUUUUUUUUUGUUAUUCCCUCCUUCAGAGAGAUCCUACUUGGUAGGAUUCUUUCUCUGUCCUAUCUCACCAGCAAUAGUAAAAAAAAAACAAGUGUUUCAAGUUGAAACUUAAGAGUCACAACGUAUACACUCAUUAGUGAGACUGCAUCACAGAACAUGCAACAGCUUGUGCCCAAUGCCUUAAUCUUUGUUUCACUUGUUGUGGACUGUCCCCUGCACAACUCAAUUCACAAUGAUUAGUGUGAGAAUAUAAGCUCCAAGAGUUUCGAUGGGACAUGAUUAAUAUACAAAACCUUAGCUCAAUUCACUUAUCCUCAAUUGGUUUUAAAUUAGAAGUCUAGGAAACUUAACGAUUAGUCUAUGCAUGUAAAUACUGACCAUAGAAAAUCAGCAUUUAUAAGAAGAUGAAAUGAAGUUUUUGUUUUUACCUGGACAUAAGAUCUUUAAUGAAUCCGAGUCGGUUCUUGGGCUACAAGGAAUGCUGCUUGAGGAAGCAGAUGUAGAAGGUAAAGAGCCAUCUCCUCCGUUGCUGCUACGGCUGCUACUAGGUGAAGGGAGAGGCGAAAGCUGCCUAUUCACAGCAAAGUAAAGAUCUAAUGCUGGUAAUGUGUUGCACAACUUCAGUCCUGCUUCUUCCUUGAAUCCAAACCCUAACUCGAUGGACCCUUUGAGCUCCCUUAAGUCUUCAUCGGUUAGAUCAGUAGGAUCAUAAUCGCUGUCAGAGAGGCCUUUCUGCUUCUUUUCCUGAAUCUUUAACAUCUGACGGCGCCUUUUCUCCCAAGCAACAUCUCUUGGUGUCUCACGCAUUGAGAGUUGCUUUGAUAACCGCUGUUUUGGUUUCUGCGAGGCUAACGGGGCCACUAGUGGCUCAGGAAGUGAUGGUGAUGAAGACGAGAUUGGUAAGGUAAGGCCUUCUCUUCUCCUCACCAUUUUUAUAUCUUGUAAUGCAAGGCAGGGGAUUUGUUCUUAGAAUUGGGAAAGAUGCCUUCUGGUACAAGCUAGGGCUUAUUUUACUACCUGUUUUCUUUAGGAGAAUAUCAAAGCUUUGGAGUUUGCUUAUGAGUCUAGAUGUAUGUUCUUCAUCUGCUGGCCGCGUGUGAAACCAAUUAACACGGCCAACAAAGAAGCUUCUACGGGUCGGGUUGAUCAGAAAAUCUUCUGUAUACUCUUUUUCUACCUGAAAAUUUUGCCAAACCCGACCACAUAAACUCUCACAAAAAGAGACUCAAAGAGCCUUUAAUGGAGGAUUUGAGAAAGUAGUUUUCACCAUUGAUUUAUGCAAUGGAGUCAAAAGCUAUUUUCCUCCAUUGUUUAAAUUUGAUAUACAAAAGACUCAUCCUCAUUUAUUUAGGGAUCUUUCUUUGUUUAGAUUCUUGACUCCCAAAAAAGAAAACGUGUUUCAUAAUUAUCCUACUCUACAAGAAUGUACAUUGAUCAAACCUGUUAUUUUUUCCUAUUUUGAGAAUCCAGUCAAUAUAGUUUUAAGUCAUGAAUUUUAUUUCAUUAGUGUAAGAUUAAUAACUCAAAAGUAUAUUUUUUCUCUCUUCAAAGUUCUAACCAAAUUUGCUUAAAAUAGUUUUCUAAUAUUAAUCCUCUCCACCAUGGAUUUCUCUAACUACUUUCUGUUUCUCUUUCAGACACAACACCAAAAAAAUGAGAAAAAUUCAAUGACCAAGGAAAACGAACGGUUUGUUUUUGUCUUGUUGAGGUUUCUGCUCCUGUUUCCAUGGCUCUGAUCAUACAUUGUUAGGUUUGGAGAGAGGAGAAGAAACAAGCCUCCAAGUUUUCUCUCCUGGUUUCUUGAGGUAAUAAUAAUCCCACUAAGAAAAUUAACCUUUUAUGUUCCUGAAGAUUUAAAACACGUAAUUUAUCUAAUGUUUCAGCCAUGAACGAGAAAACGAGGACCCUGUGUUCCCUCCUCUGUUUCUUCUCUGUUCUUCUAGUUUCUAUCUCUCAAUCUAACGGCCAAGAUCUCGCGUUGGCAUGCGGGGCAUCAGAAUCAUCUGCUGAUCCAGACAAGAAGAAAUGGGAACCCGACACCAAGUUCUUGAAAACACCAAACACGGAUCAUGCAACAGCAACGUAUCAAGAUCCAUCUCUUCUCUCAACGAUUCCUUACAUGACAGCAAGAAUCUUCACAGCUCCUGCCACUUACGAGAUCCCGGUUAAAGGAGACAAGAGACAUUUGCUCCGGUUGCAUUUCUACCCAUCAGCAUAUACGGGACUCAACAUUGAUGACUCUUACUUCUCUGUAGCAGCUAACGAUGUCACCCUUCUAAGCAACUUUAGUGCGUCCAUCACAUGUCAAGCCUUAACACAAGCUUACCUCGUUAGAGAAUAUUCUCUUGCACCAACCCUAAAAGAUGCCUUGACCAUCACGUUUACUCCUUCGGAUAAACAUCCUAAAGCGUUUGCUUUCAUAAACGGUAUUGAAGUCGUUGAGAUGCCGGAACUGUUUGAUACAGCUGUUCUCGUUGGGUUCACAGACCAAACAGCUGAUGCUAAGUCCGCGAAUCUUCAGACAAUGUUUAGGCUUAACGUUGGUGGUCAGGACAUUCCCGGAAGCCAAGACUCUGGCGGGUUAACAAGAACUUGGUACAACGAUGCGCCUUACAUAUUCAGCGCAGGUGUGUAUUUUUUUUUUGAAUACCAGGAGGUUCGAGGCCAAAGCCUGUAAUACUCUUAGGCAUAAAAUCACAACAUUUAAUAUUAGUUUCGUCCUAGUGCAGGUCUUGGUGUUACCCUUCGAGCAAGCAACAACUUUAGGAUUGAUUACCAGAAAAUGCCGGUCUCGACCGCACCACCUGAUGUCUACAAAACAGCUAGAUCACAAGGACCAAAUGGAGAUCUCAACGUUAAUUCUAAUCUCACAUGGAUGUUUCAAGUUGAUACUAACUUCACUUACAUCAUGAGACUCCACUUCUGUGAGUUCCAGCAAUCUAAAGUUAAUCAAAAAGCUUUCAACAUAUACAUCAACAACAGAACCGCACAAGGGGACACCAACGCUGCGGAUAUAAUCGCGUGGUCAGGAGGGAAAGGUGUCCCAACCUACAAGGACUACGCGAUGUACGUUGAUGCUAGCAACGGUGGAGCAGGAGGUGAAGAUGUUUCACUUCAGAUGACUCCUUCUAAAUUUGCUCAACCAGAGUAUCUCGAUUCUCAGCUCAAUGGGCUAGAGAUUUUCAAGAUGGACACGAUGAAAAACCUAGCGGGCCCAAACCCUAAACCAUCUCCUAUGCAAGCUAACCAAGAUGGUAAAAGAGAGUUUCGAAGAGACAAAAGAAUCACAGCUUUUAUCAUCGGUUCAGCUGGUGGAGUAGCAGCGGUUUUACUAUGUGCAUUGUGUUUCACAAUGUAUCAAAGGAAACGUAAGUUUCAAGGAAGCGACUCUUACACAUCGAGUUGGCUUCCUAUAUACGGAAACUCACACACGUCCGCAACAAAAUCUACUAUAUCCGGUAAGAGCAACACGGGAAGCCACUUAUCUAACCUUGCAGCUGGUCUAUGUCGAAGAUUCACGUUGUCUGAGAUCAAACACGGAACUCAAAACUUCGACGAGUCUAACGUCAUUGGAGUUGGAGGGUUUGGUAAAGUUUACAAAGGAGUUAUAGACGGAACCACAAAAGUGGCCAUCAAGAAAUCAAACCCUAAUUCAGAACAAGGUCUCAACGAGUUCGAGACAGAGAUAGAACUUCUCUCGAGAUUAAGACACAAACAUUUGGUCUCCUUGAUAGGUUACUGCGACGAUGGAGGAGAGAUGUGUUUGAUAUACGAUUAAAACAAAAGAGCCGUUUUUAUUUUUAUUAUAAUAUAUAAAAUUUCAUAAAGUAAAAUUUUAGGAAAAGUGUAAUAUAAUAUAAUUUUUAAGGGCCAAAAAUUGUUUUUCCCAUGGUCGGUCCACUAACAUGUUGAGCUGGCCCCUGACACAGGUGCAAAGUAUACGAUCAUACACCGUGACGUGAAGACAACGAACAUCUUACUCGAUGAGAAUUGGGUUGCGAAGGUCUCCGACUUUGGUUUAUCCAAAACCGGACCGAACAUGAACCAAGGUCAUGUCACGACCGUAGUCAAAGGAAGUUUCGGGUAUUUAGAUCCAGAGUACUUUAGGAGACAGCAGUUAACUGAGAAGUCAGAUGUGUACUCUUUUGGAGUUGUUUUGUUUGAGAUCUUAUGUGCUAGACCGGCGUUAAACCCUAGCUUGCCUAAGGAGCAAGUGAGUCUUGGAGACUGGGCGAUGAACUGUAAAAAGAAAGGGACGUUAGAGGAUAUCGUUGAUCCUAAUCUUAAAGGGAAGAUUAAUCCUGAGUGUUUGAAGAAGUUUGCGGACACGGCGGAGAAGUGUCUCUCCGAUAGUGGUUUAGAUCGGCCGACCAUGGGAGAUGUUUUGUGGAAUCUUGAGUUUGCGCUUCAAUUACAAGAAACUGCUGAUGGGUCGCGACAAACAACGCCUAGCCGUGGAGGUGAGUCCGAGGAUUUAGCCGGAGAAGGUGGUGGUAUGGCGGUUAACGUCGGCGGCGCCGGAGAACAUGACGUGAGUGACUUGUCUUCCGAGGAAAGCAGUGGGAUAUUUUCUCAAAUUGUAAACCCUAAAGGGCGAUGAGGUAAUUUGAAAACCGAACAAAAAAAGACAUCCAUUAUUUUUGUUUUGUUUAUGGAAAUUAAGAGGAAAAUGUGGAUCAAUCGGUUCUUUUUAUUAUUUUCUUUAUGUAAUAUGUUAAGCGAACAUAACUAGAUCUUCUUUCUUUUUAAUUUACCCGUGCUUUAUGAGUUAAACCCAAGUCAAAACACUUGUAAAACUAUAUCUAUGUGCUGUUGUUACAUGUUAUAGAUAUUAGCCAUGUUCUUUUUGCAACUGCUGCAACCAGCACCGGCGUUCAAAAAUUACACCUAUUUCCAUGGUAAAUACACUCCUGGCAGGACAAAACCGAUUUGUUUUUCCAGUCGCUGCGGCGAAAAUAAAUAAUAAAUCUGACGCUGAAAAAGGUACCAGCGUUAGCGACCUCCGCUAAUUGUGUCUCCGUCAACUUGUUGGCAUCAGAUUUAGUUUUCAAAACCUGUUCAAUUUGCCUUUGUCAAAGUGAUUUUUGUUGACGCUACCGCUGGCCGCAGCAACCAUUAAAAGAACAGGGCUAUUGGUAUCGAGUUAAAGUUUUCUAACUAUUAAAAACAACAAAAAGGUGGCUUAGUAAUUAAAACUCUCAGAUAAUCUAUUAAGUAUAUAAAGGAACAAAGAUCAAUUCCCAUUGAUAAUGAUUUAUCUUCAAAAAUGAGUUAGUUUAAUAGUGGUUUGAAUUUCAUCUUAUUAAGGGAUUAAUUGGUGACCAUUAUAUGAACAUUAAGAACAAAUAGGGAAAAAUACAGAGGAAUAAAAUUAUAUGAAUGAAAAGAAAAAUUAUUUUUUAUCUAUUUUUGGAUGGAACAAAUUUGUUCUAUAUUACUCUGGAAUAAAAUGAAUGAGAAGAAAUAAAAAAAAAAUUAUUUCCUGUAAAUGGUAAAAAAAUAAUAGGAAUAGUGUAUUAUUCCCUUUCGUUCAUUGGUCACCGGUUAGACUAUAAGAUACGCAGAUUCUCAUACUUAGAUCUAUUAAUUUUUCAAAAAAGAUAUCAAUACUAUUAAAAUGGAAAGCAAUAUAUAUAUCUUAUAUUAAAAAAAAUUGUUUAACAAAAGAAAAGAGCUGUUUUUUAUUUUUAUUAUAAUAUAUAAAAUUUCAUAAAGUAAAAUUUUAGGAAAAGUGUAAUAUAAUACUUCUUCUAUUCUUUAAUGAUAGAUUUUCUAGAAAAAAAGUUUGUUUCAGAAAAAUAUUUUUUUUGUGUGUUUUUAAUAUGUGUAAAAAUAUUAAAACUUAUAUAUAUUUUUUAGAAACUGAGGGAGUAUAAUUUUUAAGGGCCAAAAAUUGUUUUUCCCAGGGUCUACUAACAUGUUGAGCUGGCACUGACACAGGUGCAAAGUAUACGAUCAUACACCGUGACGUGAAGACAACGAACAUCUUACUCGAUGAGAAUUGGGUUGCGAAGGUCUCCGACUUUGGUUUAUCCAAAACCGGACCGAACAUGAACCAAGGUCAUGUCACGACCGUAGUCAAAGGAAGCUUCGGUUACUUAGAUCCAGAGUACUUUAGGAGACAGCAGUUAACCGAGAAGUCAGAUGUGUACUCUUUUGGAGUUGUUUUGUUUGAGAUCUUAUGUGCUAGACCGGCUUUAAACCCUAGCUUGCCUAAGGAGCAAGUGAGUCUUGGUGACUGGGCGACGAACUGUAAAAAGAAAGGGACGUUAGAGGAUAUCAUUGAUCCUAAUCUGAAAGGGAAGAUUAAUCCUGAAUGUUUGAAGAAGUUUGCGGACACGGCGGAGAAGUGUCUUUCGGAUAGUGGUUUAGAUCGGCCGACGAUGGGAGAUGUUUUGUGGAAUCUUGAGUUUGCGCUUCAGUUACAAGAAACUGCUGAUGGGUCGCGACAACCAACGCCUAGCCGUGGAGGUGAGUCCGAGGAUUUAGCUGGAGAAGGUGGUGGUAUGGCGGUUAACGUCGGCGGCGCCGGAGAACAUGACGUGAGUGACUUGUCUUCCGAGGAAAGCAGUGGGAUAUUUUCUCAAAUUGUAAACCCUAAAGGGCGAUGAGGUAAUUUGAAAACCGAACAAAAAAAGACAUCCAUUAUUUUUGUUUUGUUUAUGGAAAUUAAGAGGAAAAUGUGGAUCAAUCGGUUCUUUUUAUUAUUUUCUUUAUGUAAUAUGUUAAGCGAACAUAACUAGAUCUUCUUUCUUUUUAAUUUACCCGUGCUUUAUGAGUUAAACCCAAGUCAAAACACUUGUAAAACUAUAUCUAUGUGCUGUUGUUACAUGUUAUAGAUAUUAGCCAUGUUCUUUUUGCAACUGCUGCAACCAGCACCGGCGUUCAAAAAUUACACCUAUUUCCAUGGUAAAUACACUCCUGGCAGGACAAAACCGAUUUGUUUUUCCAGUCGCUGCGGCGAAAAUAAAUAAUAAAUCUGACGCUGAAAAAGGUACCAGCGUUAGCGACCUCCGCUAAUUGUGUCUCCGUCAACUUGUUGGCAUCAGAUUUAGUUUUCAAAACCUGUUCAAUUUGCCUUUGUCAAAGUGAUUUUUGUUGACGCUACCGCUGGCCGCAGCAACCAUUAAAAGAACAGGGCUAUUGGUAUCGAGUUAAAGUUUUCUAACUAUUAAAAACAACAAAAAGGUGGCUUAGUAAUUAAAACUCUCAGAUAAUCUAUUAAGUAUAUAAAGGAACAAAGAUCAAUUCCCAUUGAUAAUGAUUUAUCUUCAAAAAUGAGUUAGUUUAAUAGUGGUUUGAAUUUCAUCUUAUUAAGGGAUUAAUUGGUGACCAUUAUAUGAACAUUAAGAACAAAUAGGGAAAAAUACAGAGGAAUAAAAUUAUAUGAAUGAAAAGAAAAAUUAUUUUUUAUCUAUUUUUGGAUGGAACAAAUUUGUUCUAUAUUACUCUGGAAUAAAAUGAAUGAGAAGAAAUAAAAAAAAAAUUAUUUCCUGUAAAUGGUAAAAAAAUAAUAGGAAUAGUGUAUUAUUCCCUUUCGUUCAUUGGUCACCGGUUAGACUAUAAGAUACGCAGAUUCUCAUACUUAGAUCUAUUAAUUUUUCAAAAAAGAUAUCAAUACUAUUAAAAUGGAAAGAAUCCUAAAAAAAUCUAUUUAAACAAAAUUUGGUCUAACUAAAGUUUUUGUUUAAACUGUCCUUAAUGGGUUUCCAAGACACGAUGGGGAAGCGAAUAUUUUGUUUUUUUUGUGCAAGAGAAUGAAACUCAUAUGUUUAUAUAUCUAUUGUUGCAGGUCAUGUGAACUAUUCAAUUUUCUAGAAGAACCUUGCUCCUAUCAACAUGAGUUUGUAUUGAGUGCUUAAUGAUUUGUUUGUUUGUAACAUAUUUCAGCAAGGUUGUGCAGUACCACCAAAGGAAGCUCUUGAUGGCGCCAUUAACACUCACUUUGGUUCUUAGAAGGUUGGUGAGAAAGAUGACUGCUGAAGGUGCUGCUCUGCAAGGCUCAUGAUGAGUGAUUAGUAUAUAUUUGAAUUCAGCUAAUUUAUCUUCUGUUUUUUGUGCACCAACUAAUUUAUCUUUGUUUUUUAUAUUGCACCUAUUAUAGAUUAUAAUUAAUUUGGGUCAAUUGGUUUUUAAGCCUAGAACAUAAUUUUUUUACACUUACAUAGCUCAAACGUUUGGCAACAUAAUUUAUUUAUAACAUUAUACGGUUAUACCCAUAUGUUAUUAAAUAUAAAUAUAUAGUAACAUAGUUCAAAAUAUAUUUUUCUAAGAUUCAAAUUUUACCCAUAACCCCAAACUAUAACCGAAAACCCGAACCAGAAACUUAAAAAUAUCUGUAAUGGCGAAAACAUAAAUGAAAUACCCAAACAUACCUAAUAUACACAAAUCAUUCCAGGUAUUUUGGGUACCCGAUCGAGUCUCGGAUAGGACCCAAACUGGAACAGAGAUUUGUGAUUCAAAAAGAUAUUAAAUAGGUACUUUUCCUUAACUCAUACUCGAACUGCAUCUGUAUUUUUGGUUUGGUUUCAGAUUUAAUUUUUCAGGUCCGAUAAACUGUUGAAUCGUAUGAAAAAGUUAGAUAAAAAUGUACAGAUAAAAUCUGAAAUAAUAAUGUAUAACAAUCUCAAAACAUUAACUCAUAUAAAACUUUUUUAUAAUAAAAAAAAAUCUGUGCGUUUAAGCGCGGAUCAAAAUCUAGUGUUACUUUACUCUAUAAUAAUGUUAAACUUUCACAAUUAAGUUUAGAAGCUAAACCAAAGUAGCCUAAAGAAAAAUUUAUGGAAAGUAUCGUUCACUCAUUUAAGAGUCGGAAAUAGGCAUUGAGGUUUUGGUUACUAGUUAAUUUAUUUGUAGACGUCGUUUUUGGAUGAAUGUACUAUGAUAUCUCUUUGUUAACAACUAAAUCAAUGCUGCGAAAACUCAAGUGGAAUCAAGACGACUUCCCCUUUGGAUUGUACUUUAUCAGCUUGCGCUAUGAAGCCCAAACAAAAUACUCAAAACUUACUUAUGUAUCAACCUCUAAAGCUGUAAGCAAUAUAAUAAACAAACUUUUGGUUCAUUAUAGAAUUAAAAUAUUUCAAAAGCAAUUUGUAGUGGCUUAGGAAUUUGUCAUUUGUCAUAUGGCACCGAAGUCAAAUCAUAAUCACAAUAACAGGCGUGAUUUAGUUUAAAUUGAUUAUAUAACUGAUUCUUUUGAAAAUUCUGCAAGAAAACAGAAAAGUUCGACAUACUUUUUUGCAGACUGGGUAUUUUACCAUUAUCUAUGAAUGCAAUAUUUAUAUGGUAGACUGGUAGUGUGUAUAUAUUAUAAAAUGGCUCAAUGAUUUUGUCUUGGGGAUCAUAUUCACAUUUCAUAGUGGAUGUGGAACCAAAGGUCACUACCAAAGUGGACGAUGGUAGUAAAAUCAUAUUUUAUGUCGACAAUUAUUUAUUAGCUUUGCAAUCAUCCUAUAUAUCAUUUUAGACUUUUAGUACGCUCAGAUUUAAACGAAAAAGAGACUUUAAGAGAACGUUUUAUUUAUAUAUCUAACAAAGUUCCAUAUAUGUAAGUUGUAACAUAUAUGAUAUAUCACUAAGUACUAACAUCAUACCUAAAUGAUUUUAUGAAGUGUAUAUCGAUUCUUCCCAGAUAUACAUAUAUAAACGUCGUCCUAAUCGGAUAACCUAGCUUGGUUAUUAUAGUUUUCUUUUCUAACUAAAUCCAGUUGAUUUAACAAUACGGGACACGUCAUUGUUAAAGUGGCACAUGGAUGACGGAUACAUAUGUGAUACAUGUGCAUGAUUCGAUAGGAGUAAAAUCGAAGAAAGGAAUGGUGAUAAGAUAUGCAUCGUGGGCUUGAUACGAUAUCCAAAUUUAAAAAGAGGAAAAGAAAAGCUUCAUGCGUCAGAAAGAUUAUUGUCAACCAAAUAAUCGAUUUGAUCUUUGGCUUUUGCUCCUAAUGUUUUCGACGGUUUCGAGAUCCUUAUUGGAUGCUCCAUGUACUAAAAUAAUAAUAAUAAUAAUAAUAAUAAUAAUAAUAAGGAGGUGGAGUUGGCCAAUCUAGCUAGUGUGAUGAUGAUGAUAGUGGCUUUGUAGGUGUGAAAAUUGACGAAAACGAAUCGGCCAUUGCUACUUGAUCUAACGAGUAGAGGACGAACAUACGACGACAAAGAAACGACUAUAAUACAUAAAAUAUUGCUUCGGACAAUACAAAAGUUGAAUUUCUAAAAUAGACUUUAUAGUUUACGAAAAGUAUCUCAAAUCGUAGUUAUAAGUAUAUUUAUUUACUAACGGAUGAACAAAAUCGAAACUACAGAGUAUUAACGAACAAAAUAAAAUUUAUUUUCAAUACUGUCGUGUGAAGAAACAAUCAGAGUUCAUUGCUACUUGACGAGAAGCAAAGAGAAUCUUUGCCAGGUCAACUCUGCGACUCUUGUUUCGGUUUGGGUCCAGUUUUUUUUUUUUUUUGUAAUUUUGCUCUUUUUUUUAUGGGCGACAAAGAGCCAAAUCAAUCAUCUGUAAUUUGCGUUGGAACCAAAAAAUGGCCUCAACAAUGUGUUCACCGUAUGUUUUGUGUAUAUUAUGCGAGACAUGUCUCGUUCGAUAAAUGCGGAAAAACAGCCGGUGGUGGUCUGCACAUCAUUACCAUCUAGCGCUCUUAUUCUAGAGUUAAUUUUAUGUAUAUGCGUUUUUUCCAAUUUUUAGUAAUUGGCUGGAUAAUAUUAACUUAAUUAUUUUUUUGAUCUAGAAUAAGUUAAGAUAUGGGUUAGCUCUCGUUCAUCGGCUUUAUGGCGAGUUGUCUGUAGUUUUCUUUUGGUUUAUUUACAGUUUUAGUUUUAGCUAUUUUAGUGUUGUUUUUAUUUAUAUAUUUUAUUUAUGAUGUAACACAUUUAAGUCUAAACUGUUUUAAAUUGAAUAACCUACUCUAAAAAUCAAAUAAAUUACAAGAUUUAUGCAAGAAAGUUUCCAUUUUACUUCCAGAUAUAUACGCAAACGCAGGAGGAGUGACGGUGAGUUACUUUGAGUGGGUGCAGAACAUUCAAGGGUUCAUGUGGGAAGAGGAGAAAGUGAACCUGGAGCUGCAAAAGUACAUGACUCGAGCCUUUCACAACAUCAAGUCUAUGUGCCAUACUCAUUCUUGCAACCUCCGUAUGGGAGCUUUCACCCUUGGAGUUAACCGAGUCGCUCGAGCCACCCAGUUGCGUGGUUGGGAAGCUUAAUUCUAUGGGAUUUCCCCAUCUAUACUCUGUUUCAAUUCUCUGUUUUUUUUUUCUUUUUGGUUUCAUUGUUGCUGAAAAAGCAUUGAGGUUCCGAAAUGGAAAAAAAAACAAAUCAAUUGAAUUUAACAAGUUGAAUAAAAAAUAUUAUUUUGAAAAAAAAAAAAAAAAAAAAAGUUUCCAUUUUCAAGAUAAGACAAGAAUCAGACAACAGUUCAUGUUCAGUCAACAUUCCAGUUACACGUGUUACGAUGAAGACAGGAACAUAUUGACAGGUGUCGCAAUAUCAGCGGUCAUUUGUCCAAGUUGCAUGCCCGAGAUUCUAAAGAAUACAUAGCUGGAACGUGGGGCCAAUUAACGACAGUUUCCUAUUUUUAUUUUAUUAAAAUUUUAGAAUACUUUCCAAGAAGGACUAUAAAAAUGGCAUAAAUCUCUCAUACAUUAUGCAGAAACUAAUAAUUAAAAUACAUUGAUUAUCACUAUACAUUAAUUAUUUGUAAAUAUUUUUAUCAUUUAUAUAAACAUGAAAGAUGAAAAAUCAUGCUACAAAAUUUGAACUUUGAUCUAAGCUUUUAUUUAGGAAAAAAAAAACUUAACUACAAACGAGUAGAUGCAAAGUAGGUCCAGUAUUGGGACCUACCAAAAAAUCUUUUACGGAGGACUCUGUUUUUUUCUCUCCUUCCCCUGUGACUGCGAGUCUGCGACGACCAACUCGCAAAGACCCAACUCCACUCCACUGUCUCUUCUCUAUGCUUUUCCUUUUUCCUUUUUAUAUUUUAAUUCAUAUUGACAAAGCAGAAGAAAAGAUUUGUAUUUUAAUGGGGCUAAGGGAAUAUUUGUGAAAGAACCUCUUCCUCUCGGACGUAGAAGGCAAGUCCCUAAGCUUGUAUUUGUUUCUUCUUACAGUUAGAUAAGAAAAAAUAUAUAUUUGCUUUUAGGACACUUUAACUUCUGGGAGAUUCUUCUUCUUAAUCUGUAUGGGAAAGAUCUCUCCCUUUAAUCCAUUUCAGGGUUUUAAUGUUUUGGCUGUGCUCAUGAGUCAUGAUUAUUUGCUUUUCCUUUUACAACAGUUUUUAGGGUUUGAGUUCUAGAUCUUUGGAAGCUUCUGACACUUUUGAUUUGAUUGAAUUUGAUAGCUCUGAAGCUUGUGUGUGUGGAAGAAAAAAAUGGAGGAAGUUGAAGCUGCAAACAAAGCAGCAGUGGAAAGCUGUCAUGGAAUCUUGAAUCUCUUGUCACAACAAACCAAUGAUCCUAAAUCCCUACUGGUUGAAACAAGAGAAGCAGUUAUCAAGUUCAAGAGAGUCACUUCUCUUUUGACUAGAGGGUUAGGAGGUCAAAGAAAGAUCAAAAAACUCAACAACAACAACAACUACUACAAGUUUAUGUCUCCUUUGUUGCCCCAACACAUCUUCUUGGAAAGUCCCAUUUGCAGUAAUAAUGCUAUAACCGGUUGCGUUCCAAAGUUCAUAAUCUCUCUGAAAGGGUUUGUAUUUUAUUUCUUUUAUUUGAUUUUAUUAUUAUUCUUCAGGUUAUACCACCUGCUGCUCCUAGUUAUGGUGAACAGAGACCGGUUCACCCUCCACCUAUGAUGCUUAACCAUAAAAUGUGUGUUGACAAGUCGUUUCUGGAGCUAAAGCCACCGUCUCUUCGAGCUGUUGAUCAAAAGCCAUAUCAGUAUAUCCGUAACCACCAGCAAGGAGUGUACUAUAGGAGCAACAGUGGUUUAAACCUAAAGUUUGAUGGGUCUGGUGGUGGUGGUAGUUGCUAUUCCCCAAGUGUUUCCAACGGCUCAAGAUCGUUUGUUUCAUCUCUUAGUAUGGAUGGGAGUGUGACGGACUACGAUAGAAACUCGUUUCAUUUGAUCGGAUUACCUCAGGGGUCUGAUCAUGUAUCGCAGCAUUCCAGGAGGACAAGCUGCUCUGGUAGUUUGAAAUGUGGAAAUAAGAGCAAGUGUCAUUGUUCUAAGAAAAGGUGUGUGUUGGUUUUGUCUUCUUCUUUGAGAUAAAAAAAAAAGUGUUUGUUUAUAAGAUGUUUGGUUAUUUUACAGGAAGUCGAGGGUGAAACGAUCCAUCAAAGUACCUGCAAUCAGUAACAAGAUUGCAGAUAUACCUCCAGAUGAAUAUUCAUGGAGGAAGUAUGGACAAAAGCCAAUAAAGGGUUCUCCUCAUCCUAGGUUAGUAAACAGUUACAUGCUUAGCCAAUGGUGUCAUUCAAUGUUCAAGAAAUCGCUAGGAGAUAGGCCCUUUAUAAGGUUUUCGAGAAAAAUAUUUAAGAAAGAUUGUUUCGUUUAUGACUGAUUUGCGCCUAGAUCGAUUUUUAGAACACUAGUUUUUAAUAUUGCUCUCUCGUUGCAGGGGAUACUAUAAAUGCAGCAGCGUGCGAGGUUGUCCAGCAAGGAAGCAUGUUGAACGAUGUGUAGACGAAGCUUCGAUGCUUAUUGUGUCUUAUGAAGGUGAGCAUAACCAUGCGAGAAUGCUCUCCUCCCAGUCAGCUCACACCUGAUUAGCUAAACCGGUCUAGUAGCUGCGAUCUGCAAGUGUAAAUUCUACCUUGAACGUAGGUUAUCGUGCAUCACAAGUUUGGUUUCAGCCUUAUCUAUAUAUAGAUAUUGUUAUAAAUGUCAUAGUCUAGAAUGUUUUUUUUUGUAUCAGUUGUUGAACUAAUGUAUCUGAUAUGAUUCGGUUCCUCUCUGUUUUUACAAGUCCAUUAGAGAAUGUAAUUAGUAGUAAACUCUUCUAGAAUUAGCUUCACGUUUCUUCAAUAUUUUUUUUUUUAUAAGUUAGGGAUAAGAGGAGAUUAAUCUUGAAACUAAUCAUCAGCAAUGAAAUUAUUAACCAGAGUUUUAGCAUAAUCGAUUCAAUCUUUAGCUCUAAGAUUACUCAAACACUUACAAAAUACAGUGUCAGGUUUAAACGUUACGUAACAUUAAAACAUAAAUCAAGUAGAGACAAACGUGAAACAGAAAAAACAAUCAAUAACCGUUCGAGGAGAACGAUUGAGAAACUGAACAAAUACCGUAGAUAACCAGAAAUCAGAGUUUGGUUCGGUUUUUUCCGGUAUAAUCAAAUUAGGUUAUGGUAACCCCUUCCUCCAUGGAAGAAUCUUCAUUCACACUCACAGGCUUCAACUCUGUUUUGCCGACGCUGUGUCGGUUCUGUGUAGAGACUGACUUCGGAUUCUCUUCACCAGAAGAGUUAAUGGCAUCUCCGCAACUCUUUCUCCUAGAGAAAUUGAGUUUGGGGGACUUUGGACGCGUCAAAGGAAACUAUGUUGAAACAAAGAACAUUUUGAUAAGCUUUCUUGUGAAACAAGUAACAUAUGUGAGGUAAUCUAGAUACAAUUGAUACCUUCUUAAGCUCUGGUUUCACGGGAGGUCCUUGGUAAUAGAAGUUAGGGACCGGAUUAGCCUUAAACUUGAGGUUUUUUCUUAGCUGUUUAAUGGCUGCUUCUUGUUCUUCCUGCACAUUAAAUGUGUUCCCCAUUUAGAUGUUCUAAAGAUAAAAAUCAUUUACAUUUUCUUGAUUUAGUUACUUAAUGGGACCUUACCUUUUGCCUUUGUUCGAGCUCGUUUCUUUCAGCUUCUAGUGCUUGGUGUUUCUCUUCAAGCUUUUGGUAGUACUAAACCCAGAAAAAUGACAGUUAAAAUCAGUGAACAGAACAGAACAUAAGUGAUUGUUAAUUGUCUUUGUUGAUUAUGAGUACAUACCUCCUUGCGUUUUUCAGCGCGCUGAGCACUCCUAAACCGUGGAGCAGUUCCAUGAGUUACUGCUCUAGACUUAGCAUUCCUCAAGGAUGUUGCAGCGCUGGAGUAAAAUAUCGUCAAGAAUCACCAACAAACUAAAAUACUAUUUAUCACAAAUAAUUAGAUUUAUUGGUGUUUUUGUGAAGUUAUACUAAAGAAAGGAUACGAAGAAGUAGGGUCAGCGUGCUGAGUCCAAGGACCAACGUGAUGAUAUGUGUACUGAUGGAUUGCCACGGAUUUCUUGUUAUCAGGCUCCAACGGCUUCUUCACAUCAUUCUGAUAUUGAAUUAGAAAAAGUAGGUUAUAAACCUUUUUCAUAGCUCAGUCAAUUACAAUUUCCCUCUAUACACUACUAUAUACAAUACCUCAGUGAUUACACUAGGAGGAGAUUGAUGAUUCUGGGAGAGAGAAGCCUCCUCAGUGCAUUCUUUAACCUCAUAAUCCUCCUCUGCAGCUAUCUUGGGAGCCACGUGAACGUGAAUCCUUCCAUUGGAUGCAUCAUUGUUCACCGACUCAACAACUUCUCUUCCCAUUUCCAACAACUAGUCUAUUACCAUAAAUCACCAAAUAAAUAGACGAGGUAAGAGAUUAAACUACGAGAAAAACAUAUUAUUAGAACCUAAUUUAAUUAAUGUUAAGGUUUCAAACUGUUUUAUUUUUUGUUAUUUCAAAUUUUCAUCUCUCUGAUUGAAUUUCCAGCAUCCUACCAACCUAAAUGGUUAUAAAGAAACAAAGGUUUGAUAUUAAUCUGAAAUCUGAACAUUUCGGAUCUAAAAAGAAAUGACCAGCAUGAAUCCAGAUGACGAUAACAUUUAGCAAAUAUUAUUGAUUGAUACGAGGAACAUAUUUUUCAUCAAACACGAUACAAAAACAGGGGAGAACCAAACAAAACAAUUUUUUUUUGAAAAAAAAGAAACAAAACAAAAAUGGAAAAACAAAGAACUAUGAGAUAAUGUUCUUACAGAUCUUGUCUGAAAUGAACAAUUAUUCUUAACAACAAGUCUUCGUGACUAAUCUUUCCGGUCUGUCGUGAGCUUUUUUCAGACAAUAAAGAACAAGAACUCUCCCUCUCUCUCUCUCUCUCUCUCUCUCUCUCUCUCUCUCUCUCUCUCUCUCUCUCUCUCUCUCUCUCUCUAUCUAUCUAUCUCUCAAUGAAAAAGAAAGAUUGCUUAUGUUUCUGGCGGUGACUGUUAUUAUGGAACUGCGAUUCAUUUGUUAAGCUGUUGGGUAUUUAUCGGCUCUGUUUUUUACUUGUUUAAUUUAUCAUUUAUUUCUUUUAACAGCUUUUUCUAUUAUUAGUCAUUUCUUUUUGGCAAUUAAUUCUUCAUCUCGGCGAUUAAAUAUUCGAAAAGAAUUUUGUCCAACCAAAAAGUAAACUCGUUGUCCGUUGAUAACAGUACAAAAGUCUAUUAAUUAAAUUAAAAAAUACUCACGUUUUCUUAUUUAAAUCGAGAUUAAAUAUCAAGAAUCAAUUUUGCAUCUUUAUUUUCAGCGACUAAAACUAAAGUACAAACUCUUUGUUAUACACUAGAUAUUAUAUGCAUGUGUCGACAAGUUUGAAUAGAAAUAUUGUCGUGUAAGAUAAAACAUCCUCGGAUAACACGUGAAUCGUUGCACUUUUAAAUUCGCGUAGUCAAUGCUGACGACGGUUAGUUAACGCCGACACGGGGAAGAACACCCUCCGAACCCAACUUUUCUGAUCUCAAAUCUAUCUCUGGGUCCUCUUUGUCUCAACCUUUUAAAUCUUUCGGGAACCAUUUGUUAUGAAAUUUUUUACAUUUUGUUUUACCUUGAAUUGUGGUUGAUAUGAGAGGUUUUAUUCUAACCUGAUAUGAGAGGUUUUACCUUCAUAUUUUGAGUUUUAAUUUGAUGGACUAAAAAAAGUUCUCCAUGCAUAACCUCGUUAUUAGUUAAUACUCCCUCCGUUCCUAAAUGAUAGACUUUUUAGUAUUUUCACACGUAUUAAGAAAACAUAUUAAACAACCAUAAUAAAUAUAUUGUUUUCUGCAAUUUUCAAUUUUCAAAUAACUUUUAACAAAUAGUAAUUCAAAAAAAUCAAUUAAUUUUCUUGAAGUUUACAAUUUUAUCAUAGAAAACACAAAAAAUACAUCUUUCAGAAACAAGUUUUUUUUCUAAAAUGUCUAUCAUUAAGGAACGGAGGGAGUACAUGUGAACAUGUGUCGUGUAUAUUCCAGUUGGACCAACCAUGUGAUUACAUAUUUCAAUUGAUUUUUUUUCUCCUCUCUUUUGUUAAAAGAACUGAAUUCAUAUCACAGUGCUGUAUACCGUCCAUUUUGUAACAUUAAGUACGAGCUGAUUGGAUAGCCGUAGAAUUUAUAAAAAAAAGUGUUUCAUUCGAUUUAUUUUCUAUCAAAUGUGACAAUGUGCGUGCAUGGGCCAGUAAUUAUGUGAAGAAGAAGAGAGCAAUAUAGAAUCCUCUCAAUCUGGGCUCAUUAACAAAUUGUCAAAUUUUCCCAAGCCCUAGAUUGUUCCGUUCCUCUGACCAAUCAAAACCUAAUAGGCCUAUUAUGAAAUUACUAAUGACAUUUAACACUUUUAGAUCGAAAUUUCGAUUUCCGUUCCGUAGCAUUUUACAGUUUCAAAGAAGAACUUAUCUUUAUUAAUGUUCUUAAGUAAGCUUAGUAUUUAUUUAUUUAUUUCUACGUUUUUUUUAAGAAAUUAAUACGGAGUCACACAAAGUAGAUCGUGAGAAAUGCAAAUAAGCAUAUACUUGGAAGCCAGAUGAUCCGUUUUUCUCUCUUGCUCGGUCAACGUACAACCCGGCGACGAACACGCGUCACUUACAAUCACCUCGAAGCGCUGUUUAUAAUGGUUUACACGCCACUUUAACUAUUUUCUAAAUUUCCCAAAAAAGAGAAGAGCGAAAGACUUAUAAUGGCGAUGGAAGUAGCAACUCCGGUUCAUGCACCGGCGCCAUCUCCGGCGACCAACCUCAUUGUCUCAGCAACAACAACCGCUGUGGAAACUCAUAAGAAGAACAGGAUUCAAGUUUCUAACACUAAGAAACCAUUGUUCUUCUACGUUAAUCUCGCCAAGGUAAGUGCCAAAAAAAAGAACAAUCGUUACAUUUUAUCAUAACAAAGGUUUCUUGGUGGUCAAGCAUUUUACAGUUUCAAAGAAGAAUAAAUAGGAUUUAACAACGCUGCGUUUUGCUGAGGAGAUAUUUUAAGCGAUUUUGAGUGCGAUUUUUCGUCGAGGGUUUCUCAUGGGUAUGGUGUCGCCGCCGUUCUCUCCGGGUUUGUUGGGGAGCAAUAGGGAGAAUCGAGAAGUUUGUGAUGAAGAUCAAGGAGAGAUAAAGCGAUCGAUGGGUGAGGUGACGAAGGAAAUUCCAAAAUGGAUUGAGGCAGUACAAGAUAAGAAAAGCUUGAGAAAAUAUGAUGUUGAGGUUACUUCUGUUGAGGGUAAGCAUAAGGUGGUGAUUCCAAAUAAUAUUCUCUCUGAUGCUACUCCAUUGUGGGAGGACUUUGUUGUUGGGAAGUUUUUGGACAUUGCGCCGCACAUCGCUAAGGUUCAUAUGGUUGUGAACAAAAUUUGGAGCUAUGGGGAUUCAACAUCAAAGGUGGAGGUGUAUGAUGUAAAUGCGAUGACGAUGCGAUUUAAGAUCAAGAGUCAGAAGGUCCGUGAGAAGGUUAUUAAAAGAGGGAUGUGGAAUAUAGCGGGAGUUCCCAUGAUUGUGAAGAAAUGGACUCCAAAGACAGAUGAAGAGAAUCAGGAAGAGGAGGUUAUUCCAAUGUGGGUUCAUUUGAGGAAGGUCCCACUGAACAUGUUUUCUUGGGAAGGUUUAAGUUUCAUGACGAGCACGGUGGGAUUUCCAGUGCAUUUGCAUCCAGAGACGCUUGCCUGCUCAAACUUUGAAGAGGCAAAAGUUUUUGUUAAUGUAGAUGUAUCGAAGACCUUACCAAAGGAGAUUGAUUUUGCAAUAGAUGGAAAGGAGUUCACUGCUGAAUUCUAUUAUCCUUGGCUGCCUUCUAGGUGCAAUCUAUGUGAGAAAUGGGGUCACACAGAUCAGGUUUGCGUGAUGAAAAAGAGAGAGAGGAAACAAGGGAGGAGUGACGAGGUGAAGGGUAGUAUUUCAGCAACUCAAAAAGAUAAAGUCAGGGCUAUGCAAGAGACACCAAUAGCCAAGAUAAAUAAUGAUUUAUCUGAUGCUAAAGAAGUUACGGGAGGAGUAGUGAAGGAAAAGGCCUGGUCAUUAGUCUCUCCAGACAAAGUAGGCAGGACGCAAAAUAAAACUCCAAGAAGUGAGGAACAUGAUAUCCAAAUAUCAGCUUCCAAAUUCUCGGUGUUGAGUUUGGAUGAAGAAGAGGAGGGUGAAAUAAAGGAUGAUGAUCAGAAUGGAGAGAUGAAACAGAGCAAUGAGGAUGAUAUUGUGGAGGACAUAAGAGAGGGGGAUCUGAUGGAGGAUGUUUUAAUGGAAAGAAAGGAUAAGAGUAUAAGAAAGCAGUAAUGCAAAAGGGUGGGAAAAGAGUUCAGAAGGGUAAAGCUCAGGAUGUCAAUCCAAAGGGCAAGCGGUCUUCUCGACGUAAUCUCUGAUCCACGGCGAGUUUUUUCUGGAAUGUGCGCGGAUUGAAUAAAGAGUUGAAGCAUUCCGUGAUUAGAGAGUGGAUAAAUAAUAGGGAGAUGAAGUUUGGAUGUGUCUUGGAAACUAGAGUGAAAGAAAAAAAAAUCUGGAAGGAUUCUAAAUACAGUCUUCAGAGAGUGGUCUUCGAUCACGAACUAUGAAGAGAGUCAAGGUGGAAGAAUUUGGUUUGUUUGGAGAGAUUCAGUAUGUAUAACUCCUGUUUACAAAUCAGACCAGUUAAUUACGGUAAGGGUGGAGAUGCAAGGGGUAGAAGCUUUUUACUGUACGUGUGUCUAUGCCAGUAAUCAAAUGGAGGAAAGGAAGGUAUUGUGGGAAGACCUGGCUCAUCAUCACGGCUCUCCUAGUUUUAAAAACAUGGUGUGGAUGAUAAUGGGUGAUUUCAAUGAGAUUUUGGAGGGGGAAGAGAAUUCGAGAUUCGCAUAUACGGGGAGGAUCUCAAGUGGUAUGAGGGACUUCCAGGAACUGGUACUUAGAUGUCAUCUCAUGGAUAUGGCGUUUCAAGGUCCUAAGUAUACAUGGUGUAAUAAGAGGGAGGAAGGAGUAAUAUGUAAAAAAUUGGAUAGAGUUUUGUUAAAUGAAGAAGCAGUGUUGAGGUUUAGUAAUGCGUACUCGGUGUUUGAACCUGGUGGUUGCUCUGAUCACUUGAGGUGUAAGGUUCAGUUAACCCCACCAACAGAAAAGAUAAAAAAACCAUUCAAGUAUGUCAGCUCGAUGGGUAGUAUGCCGGCUUUUCUUCCUCUGGUGAAAGAGUAUUGGGAUUCUACACAAAGGCUGUUUCACUCCACCUCAGCGAUGUUUAGGUUCUCAAAAAAGCUUAAAAAUUUGAAACCAUUGUUACGAGAGAUGGGUAGGAGGGAGUUGGGCAAUUUGACAGUUAGAACUAAAGAGGCUUAUGAGGUUUUGUGUGGAAAGCAGAAAGUUACGCUGAGCAAUCCGAGUGAUGUUGCUAUAAAAGAUGAAGCUGAUGCUUAUGGGAGGUGGCUCCAUGUCGCUAGCUUGGAGGAAGAACAUCUGAAACAGAGAGCUAAAUUGCACUGGCUGGACAUUGGUGACCAAAAUAAUAAAACCUUCUAGAGGGCUAUAACAACAAGGAAGGCUCAAAAUACGAUUAGGGAAAUCAGAUGUGGGAAUGGGAAUGUAGUAAAAUCUCAUGAGGAAAUAAAGCAGGAGGCAGAACGUUUUUUCUCUGAGUUUCUUAAUAGAAAUCCAGAGAGUUAUCAUGGGGUUAGUGAUGAGGAGUUGCAGAAUCUGCUAAAAUUUCGUUGUUCGACGGAGGACUGUGGUAUGUUAGAAGCUGAAGUUACUGAUGAAGAAAUCCGUAAGGUCCUUUUUGCGAUGCCGAGUAAUAAGUCACCGGGUCCAGAUGGGUUUCCUGCGGAGUUUUUUAAAACUACUUGGCAAGUGCUUGGCCAUGACUUUACCAUUGCGGUACAGUCAGUUUUCAGAUUUGGUUUCCUGCCUAAAGGAGUAAACUCCACGAUCCUGGCAUUGAUACCUAAGAAGCUUGACUCGCUUGAGAUGAAAGACUACCGGCCAAAAGCGUGCUGCAACGUAUUGUAUAAGGUAGUCUCAAAAGUCCUGGCCAACCGGUUGAAGAAGCUACUACCAAGAAUUAUUUUGGAGAAUCAAUCAGCAUUUGUACAAGGGAGGCUGCUUAUGGAGAAUGUUCUUCUUGCUUCUGAGCUUGUAAAGGACUACCACAAAGAGGAGAUAGCUCCAAGAUGCUUGAUGAAAGUCGAUAUUUCAAAAGCUUUUGAUUCGGUGCAAUGGUGCUUUGUCUUGAAAUGCUUAAGUGCGUUAGGCUUUCCGGAGAGUUUCAUCCAUUGGAUAAAACUGUGUAUCACUACACCAUCUUAUUCAGUACAAGUAAACGGUGAUCUAGCUGGUUACUUUCAAAGUUCCAGAGGCCUUCGUCAAGGGUGUUCACUAUCACCGUAUAUAUUUGUGUUGUGUAUGAAUGUGCUUUCAUGGAAGAUUAAUGAAGCAGCAGCAGCGAAGAAGUUUAAAUUGCACCCGGGUUGCCAAAAGUUAUCACUCACGCAUCUCUGUUUUGCUGAUGACCUCAUGGUGUUUGUAGAAGGAUCUAAGGAGUCUGUUCAGGGAGCCCUCUCUGUUUUUGAUGAUUUUGAAGGUUGGUCAGGACUGAGCAUAAGUGUGGAGAAAUCAACCAUCUAUAUGGUCGGGGUAGCAGAAGUAGAGAAGAGAGAAAUCCUAACGAAUUUUAAAUUUGCUUCUGGGGAACUCCCCGUACGUUACUUGGGACUACCACUUAUGACACAAGUGAUGAGAAAACAAGAUUAUCUACCCCUUUUGGAGCAGAUCAGAGGCAAGAUCAGUUCUUGGACAUGCCGGUUCUUAUCAUAUGCGGGUAGGUUGCAAUUAAUCAAAGCCGUGAUUACUAGUAUUAUCAACUUUUGGAUUACUGUGUUCAGACUCCCAAGAGGUUGUAUUAAGGAGGUGGAACAGAUAUGUUCGGCGUUUUUAUGGACUGGACCGGUUCUUAAAUCAACAAACUCCAAAGUGGCAUGGGAGGAAAUUUGUAGUACAAAGGGUGAAGGCGGAUUGGGAAUUAGAAACUUGAGGGAAGUUAAUAUGGUGUAUGGGCUUAAGUUGAUCUGGAAAAUGCUAUCUGAAGACUCUUUAUGGGGUAAAUGGAUUCAGGUGAAUCUUCUCAAAGGGAAGUGUUUUUGGGAAGUAAAGUUAAAUGGCCAAAUUGGAUCUUGGAUGUGGCGCAAGAUGUUAAAACUGAGGAGUAUUGCAAAGACUUUCUACAAGAGAGAGCUGGGGAAUGGGAGGCAAACUUCAUUCUGGUUUGACAAUUGGUCAGAGAAGGGCGUAUUGUCUGAAGUGUUGGGGGAUAGAGGAAUUAUUGAUAUGGGGGUUGCUAAGUAUGCGACGGUAGAAGAAGCGGUUCUUAAUACAAGGAGGAGAAAGAGACAUCGUAUGAGCAUUCUAAAAGAUAUUGAAGCAGAGCUGAGUGUCAUAGUGAGUAACUUGAGGUCUGAAGAGGAGGAUGUGAGUUUAUGGAGAAGGAAGUCGGGGUAUAGGAAGACAUUCUCUACUCAAGAAACUUGGUUGUUGUUGAGAGUGAGCAAAGUUUACUGUGACUGGUCUCGAGGAAUAUGGAUGAAGCAGGCCACGCCUAAAUACGCUUUUAUGACAUGGUUAGCAGCUCGGGACAGAUUAUCGACGCUGGAUAGGAUUGCUAAAUGGAGCCAAGGUACUGUCACCACUUGUGUGCUUUGUAACUUGGGCACUGAAUCGAGAGAUCAUCUGUUUUUUGAGUGUUGUUACUCUGCUCAAAUGUGGGAAAAGGCGGUCAAAGGUAUUAUGGGGAGUUGUUAUACUAACGUCUGGUCCGAGAUUAUGGAGCUUAUAAUAGACAGAAAUAAGGAGAAGAAGUGGCUGUUUUGCAUACAUUAUGCUUUUCAGUUAGUUCUUUAUGUAGUGUGGAGGGAACGCAACAAAGUGAGGCAUAGGGAUAAGUUACUUCCACUAUCUGUGGUGCAGAGAAUGAUAGACAAAUGGAUCAGAAACAAAAUCAGUGUCUUGAGAAGGAAGGGAGUCAAAGGAAUGGAAGAGAUGAUGCAAUUUUGAUUUUCAACUAGAAUUACAAAUGUUUAAGAUGUUUUUGGAGUUUAAAGUCUUAAAGUAAACAGUAUGCACUAGUUGUAAAAAGGUUUUUUUUUGUGAAUAAAUUUAACAUUCAUUCAAAAAAAGAAAAAAAAAAAAGAAUCUAGUGACUGUAAAUUGAUUAGGAUUUCAUUAUUUUCGUGUGUAUCUAUGCAGAGGUACAUUCAACAGUACAACGAGGUCGAGCUUUCUGCACUUGGAAUGGGUAGGUUGCUUACAAGUUACAACCAUUUUCGAUUUUCUUUAUUUUUAUUUUUAUCUCACUUUGUUUUUCUCCGUGUGUGCUUUAAAUACUACGUUUCAUAUAUAUAACGCUUAAUUGUGUAUAUGCAGCGAUCACAACAGUGGUAACUAUCUCAGAAAUUUUGAAGAACAAUGGACUUGCAACAGAGAAGAGUAAGUAUAACGUCGUUUCUUCGUUAACUUUAUCUCUUCCUUAUUUUAUUUUAUUUUUUUGCUGAAAAUUUCAUUUGUGUGAAACAAACAAACAGAAGUUCUGACAUCAACAGUGGGAAUGAAGGACGAGAACAAAGGGAGAGUAGUUCAGAAGGCCAAGGCCAGUCAUUUAUUUCUCUCUUAAAAUAGCUUUAACUAAGAUCUUAUUAUUAAAGUAUUUUCGAUUUUAUUAUAUUGCAUUUGUGUCAUGUACAGAUUGAGAAUUUUUUUUGAACUGAUGUUCAGAUUGAGAUUGUAUUGGGGAAAUCAGACAAAUUCGAUUCUCUAAUGACUCCGGUGACCAAAGAUACGGUGAAGGAGGAGAAGGCGGUGAACACGGAGGAGGAACCAAUAGAAGCUGAAGCUAAACCUGAAGGCAAGAAGGAGUGACCAUGUAAACAAAUUUCUACAGGUUUCGAGGAUUAAUAUAAGUUUCUCUGCAUACCGAGCAAACUCUUUUUGCUUCAUUACUAACUCAAAAAACAUAUCAAAAAAGUUUUGUGGUCUUGGGUUUACGCGCUUAGCGGAAUAUAGUUUUACUGUUCUUAAAUGUGAUUUUCUGAUAAUGUGAUUAUGUGGUCCGUAUUUAUUUGUGAAAAACAUUAUUUGAUGUUUUAUUAUGUUAUGUGGUAGUAGGUAAUAAGUUAAUAUAUUAUGUGUUUAUCUUUUUAAUAAUGUGUUGUUGUAUGUAUAAUACUAUUUAUUAGUGGUGAAUUGAGUUUCUGAUGUAAAACAUAUUGAAUUUCAUUAACUUUGUCUUUAGGCAUUUGUUUAUUCUAAAAUUAACGGCGUCAAAAUUGUAUUUUAAUUUUUCUCAUUUUUGAACAUUACUUUUUUUAGGUGUUUUUUGCACUCUCUCUCAUUCUUGACUUUGAAUCAUAACCAUUUAUAUAUUUCGUUUACCUCUCCGGUUUGUAGUGCUUCUCACCAUCACCGAGAAAAGACUCACUUCCGUGCUUUUUUUUUUCCUCACCUUCUUUUUCUGUGAGAUUAUCUGGUAUUUGUUAUAGAUCAGACAUAUUAGUUUCAUGUUAUGGGGUUGUUUCUUACGGCGUGGUAUGUUAUUUCGGUCAAUAUUGGUCAUGUUUUUCCUUAGGUUUUGGGUAAGAUUAGAAACUACAUCUCGUUGGGUUGGGUCAGCGUUUAGCUGUCAAUGAUGUUGUUUUCCUCGUCGAUGGUUUGCCGUCAAUAGUCUAUGCUCGUCUUGGUUUUCAAGAUCUGGCUUUUGGUGAUCUGACUUCUAUGCUCUUUUUUCAUAGCUCGAGGAUGGCUCCACGGUUUGUUGAUUUCAUUUUGUCUAUUUUUAUCUUUUUGUUCUCUCAUCUCAUUCACCUUUCAUCGUUGAUCACGUCUCUUGUGGUGACUUUGUUCUUCCGAUGAUUAUUCUUUCUCUGAUCCGGUUUUUUGGUUUUUUGCGUUGGUGCUUGAUCGCGAUUUUUUGUGUUCUUGGGAUUACUUUGUCUCAUAUUUUAUCUUUUUAUCUUUUUUCUGACAUCUGCUUGUUCUAGCCAAGACAUUCUAUAGUAAGAUGAGAUAAGUUAGUCUUCUUUGUUGACAUUUUUUCAGCUCCAAACAUUUAUUGAGUUAGUGUUACUAUAGUAUUUUGGUUUUUUUUCUUUGACUAUGGAAGUUUUAUGUUUAAAUUAUGUAUUGCACACUAAUUUCUUCUUAUUAUUUUAGUCAUUUUAUAUUUUUAAUAGUUAAAUAAAUAUAUAAUUUGUAAAUUAAAUAAUAGAAAAAGGUUAAUAAUAAUAAAAUAACAAAAAAUUAUGUUAUUUUUAGCUGUGAAUAAAUUAAAUAUGUAUUAUUUUAUUUAUUUCUUUAUUCAUCUUGAAUUUUAGUGAACAAUAAAAUAGAUUAUCAAACUUCAUACGAUAGUAGUUAGUGCUGAAAUGAUUAGGUAGUUCACGAUUAGAAAGUUUUUGGCAAAAUUGCAAUAAUCUAAAAGAAGAAUGACCUAAAAUGUAAAAAAAAAUAUGUGGAUGACACGUGUCGCAAAAGCCUUAUGCCACUUGUCAGGGAAAAAUCCAACUUUAUAUAUAUACAGGGUCGGUCCACGUUACGCGCGGAAUAUGAGUAUCGUGUGAUGUAUAUUUCUAUAUAAUCGUAUAUUUUCAUUGUAUGUGUUUCAAAUUUGGAUUUGCUAGAAGGAUGCAUAAUAACGUUGAUGGUUUUUAAGUUUCUUUUGGGUGUAGAGAGUUUAUAAAUGUUACGAUGUAUUAUAUUAAAUUUUGAUGGCCGUACUUAUAUUAAAAAAUUGAUGCGUAUACAAUACUAUAUAGUUCGGAUGAGGUGGUAGGAAUUUGAAAAUGUAAGCUAUUUAAUACCUUUGAUAUUAGUGGUAAACGCUAUUAUUGUUACUUGCUAAGUUUGCAAUCAUCUCUUUUCGCUGCAAACGUCUCGUAUCGUAGUGUUUCACGUAUGUAAGAUCAAACACCUGUAAAUUUAUAACCACCAUGAGCUCACAAAAAAUAUACAAUUAACAUAAAAGCAAGCAGCAACAUUGCAAGCUAUACACAACAAUGUAAGUUAUAAAAUUUAUUUCUUUUCAUGGUAAGAAAAGUUGUAAUCUUUCAAGUAUCGAGAAAAUUUGACACAGGAAUCUGAGUUUUUAGAGCCAAAACAGUGUUUUCCAAAUUUGAACAAAUUAGCAUCUAACAUUUUUUUAAAUUUUCUAAUGUCUCUGUUUUGUUUUAUAUCUAGCUUUAUAAUUAUUUGAAUAUAUUUUUGUGGAAUGUUAUAUAUUAUCAUGUCUGAAUAAUUAUGUGACAAUAAAAUUUGUGUCUCUUAUAUCCCUAUAAAAGGUUUAGUUAUGUUAUAUAUUAUUGUAUAAGGUCAUAUAAAAUGCUAAUAUUGUAAUUAUAGAAACUCUAACCUAGAAGUAAUUAAAAACUAUAACCCCAUAGAUAUUUCUCUUCUUUCUUCUUUUCCUUAUUCGAGAGACCAAUGAUCUAGUUUUCAGAUUUUGAAUUUAUUUUGAAUAUGUAUAUGAUAGUAUAGUUUUCAGAUAUUUAAUUUUCUAACACAUUAAAUUAUACUGGAUGAACAAAUAGUAAAUAAUUUUGAAUAAUUGAUACAAAAAUUAAACAGCAAUUAUGAUCUAAUUUUUGAAGUUGUUCACUUAUUAAAAUAAUUUAUUUUAAACCAUAAUAGCUGAAUUAAUCAAUUUUAAAUUGUUCUUUUAGUUACACUGAAGUAAUAUAAUAAUAACUUGUAAUUUGUUUAAUUUACUUAUUCUAAUAGCUGAGUUUUUUUUAAUAUUUUUACAUAUGUAAAGAUCAUUUUUCUUCACUUUAAGUUUGCAGGAAAACAUAAACUAAAGAGUCAUCAACUUCAUAUAUUUUUCUGGUUUCUUAGACUUUAAAAUUUUGGGUGUGAAAAAAAAAUUGGGAGUGUGAGAGUUGAGAAAAUGUAAUGCAUGUUUUUUUAGCAAAAAAUGUAAUGCAUGUAUGAAUUAUAAAGUUCAUAGCAUACAUGAGUACAUUUGUUCUUGUUUCUUUUGGCUAACGAAAUAAAUACAAAGCAAUCUAAAAUAUCAUGUUCAAGUAUUAGAAUUUAUACGCAGCUUAUCAUUUAUUCUAUAAUUUUAACAAACCAAGCAUUGGGAUUUGACUUUAAUAUAUUUGACGGACCAAUUACUCGCAUGUACUAAAAUGACUUCAAUUGAUAUAUAUAGUAUGAAAGUUGUGUGUUACAAAAAAAAGUAAAAACUUGCAAGAAAAAAAAACUUCAGAACAUAAAAAUUGUACUCCAACACUAACUCCUCCUCUCCACAUGUCAUGUAAGAGUAUGGUACAUGUCCGUAUGAAAAUCUAUUUUAUUAAUUAAAUAUAUAUUAAUAAAUAUAUUUCACAUUUUUUAAUUACCAUAGAUAAUAUUGAGAUGAAUAUUUCGUUUGGUAUGUGUGAUACGAAAAAGAUCCUAAACCGAACAAAUUGCUUAAGUGGCCAAACUCUUUGGGGGAUGUAUACAGCUGAGAGUUUCAGGUGAUUUGUAUUAAAAUGACAAAUUCACUGUUAUUGAAACAUGAAUUUUAAAAACUCAUUUAAAAUCCACUGUUAUUGAAUUUGACAUUUCUUAAAGUAUUCUGAAAUCCACUGUUAUUGAAAAAAAUUUAAGUUGUGGAGUUUUAAAGUUUUCAGGUGAUUUUAGGGUGUUUGGGUAGGAUUUCUUAGUUAAAAAAAUUAAAACCCAAAUCCCAUAGUUUUAGGUGAUAUUCUAGAGUAGUUUAACAAAAAAUCACUUAAAUCUCUGCAACUUAUUGAAAUCAUCUAAAACCCCAUUAAAAAUCAAAUCACAUCAAAUGUUAAAUUGAAUACAUCCCCCUUUGAUUAGCGGGUUUAGAGUAUCGUUUGAGAGAUUUUGAUAUGUAAUUCAGGCUACUGAAUUAUUGACCAUAGUAACAUGAUACUUACUUCGUAGACUCGAGUCAACUAUCAUUCUAAAGCUUUUGCUAUCAACAUCAUAUAGUUUAAUCCAUUCCAGAAGAAUAUUUUCAGCCGAAGGUUCCAUUGGCUUGAUUGUGCUACGACCCAUGAUGAUCUCGUACAGAACAACUCCAAAGCUAUACGCAUGAACUUUUGUCGGUUUGUUUUCCUCGAGAUUUUCUCGAGGUUUUUGUCUUUCUUUUUCAAGAAAAGAUUGAAUGAAAGGAAACCAAAAGACUCGUGGGGGUGUAUGUGUAUCGAUGAUCUGACCGGCUGGAAAACUAAUGAUCUGGCUCAUCCUCUCCAUCUCCGUCACUUACAUCAUCUACACUCUCAAAAUCUUCUCCACUUCACACCCUUGCCAAGAUCUAACCUCCGAGACCAUUCUCCAACAAAGGCCAGAGAAAAAGGUUUAGGAAAUGUGAUAUACAAUCCUAGAAAAGAACAAAAUCAGGGAAGAAAUAAAAAAAACCAUAGUAUCUCAACACACACCUCUAAAUGGUUAAAUUUUAUAUAAUUCCAACACACACCUCUAAAUGGUCAAUUUCUAUAUAAUAUUAACAUAUGUGCGGUUCAACAAAUGACAUGCACAAUUUAAUAGGAAUCACAGAGAAGUGCAGUUGUUAAUACCAAUUUCCUAAUAUAUUAGAUAACAGGAAUUUCAGAUGCUGAAACAUAUGACCUUGGCAACAUUGAGGGGCUUGAAUAUGACGGUGAUAUAUAAUCUGCACAGUCGUACCGGUAGAAGUUUGCAAUAGAUUCCAAAGAACUCAUAACCAUCCACUGUAUUCUCUUCCCUCACUACAUGUUCCACUUGAGAGCAAAAAUAAACCACAUUCACGAAUUCGUCAACAAACAACAUGAGUGAAACCCAUGUUUUUUUCUUUAUAACAUAAACGAAGAUGAUUUAUUCUUCUCCGAACUCAAGCUGUAAAGGUGCGCCCAGUCUCAAGCUUACCCGUGCAAUGAUAGUAUGAUCAGAAACCAAACGCUGAGAUAAAUCUCUCACCAGGCUCGGUUUUGACUCUAUCCAGAGUUGGAGUUAGAAGGUUCCGAGCUCGUAGUAGUAAUCUCACCGGAGACGCUUCCGUUUUGCUGCUGCUCAUUAGCAAUCACCAAACAGCGAGCUGCUCGUUCCAAGAGGGCUAAGUUAGAAGGAAAAGUCAAUGUCUCGUAAGAGAGAAACAGCAGUGGAGAUAUCUAAACCGAUUCCGGCUAUGGUCUCCUUGAGAAUACGACGACGAAUCAGUGAAAUGGAGAAUCUCCACUGCUUGUGUAGGAGGAAGCUUAAGCAUCGACGUCAAACCACCGGCGUUCUCGAGAGUUAGCCUUAUUAGUUGCCGAAACUCGUAACCACCGCCGUUAAAGUGAUUCAAGCCAUGUUAGUUCCCAGAAACGCCCAACGCCGCCGGAUGUAGCUCUGAAUACUCCGGCCAGAUCCAUAAACGUUAGCAAUUCUGGACAACAACACCGGAAACUUAGAAUCUCAGAGAAAGAAAAAGACAACGGGAACUGAGAGAUCGCCGGCGCCGGAGAUGAAGUAGCCAGAGGAGGAGAUGGAACGACAGGAGGGACACAUGAAGAUUUGGAAGCGGCUUUGUUCUUAGCUUCUUCGAUUUCAGACUCUGUCUCCGCAAGCAAUCUGAUUACAGCGCCUACCGGAGCCAUCUCCUUCUCCGACGACGAUUGCGGCGAGGUAACCGUAGUAGAAGAAUGUUAGUGAGGAAUGAAAGGAUGUUGUUUAUGGGAUGAGGGCAUACCUUUUUAUACGUAAAGAUUCACCGACUGGAAGAGAGGGCAAAUGCAUUGAAUAAGGAAUUAAGAUGAUCUUUAAUGGCAAUGUUUCAUGGCAUCCCGUAACGUUUGAAUUUCACUUUCAAAGCAUAAAUAUUUUUUUUUGUUCAAAGCGUAUAGAAAUCCAUUCCAAAGAACACGAAAAGCUUAACGCCCUAGAGAUCAGCCGUAAAAAUUCAUCUCCCAUCACUUUGAACAAACUUCAUGGUCAGAAAACUGAAGGUGAAGAACACGAAGAACCCUAGACAGCGAGAUGGAAAUAGUUGAAGACGAAGAGGGUCUUUGACGGUUUGAUCAAUAACAUUACGGCUUCACGCCAAAUGGGCUAGCUUUAACAAAUUCGAAGCCCAAACACACAACACGUUAAAAGAUUUAGGCCCAUCACGCAGCUGAUUAAAAACGUCGAGUUUCACCUAUUUGACACGUGUCGCGACGACAACCUCUGACUUUCUGACGUGGAUGCUGAGGUGGUGCGUCCUGGAAUGAGAUAACUGUACUGUAUAUAUAUAGAUAGAUAUCUACUUAGGUUUACAAAAAGAAAAUUUUCACGAGAUAUCUAAGUAGGCCUUGAAGACCUAUCUCUCAUAUAAGGGCCCAUUUUAGUAGGCCUCUGAUAUAAAUAUUACUGUUGAGGACUUGGGUUGCGAUACAGUGAAAUAUAGUUCAUGCACCGUUGCCAACUUGCCAUACUCUUUUGAUCAACAUGUAUACAUGAUGGUGUUAUUGUUGUAGCUUCUAAGUUGGAGAAGGUUUCGCUCAAGAUGCAAACACAUGAGUUUUCUUAAACGUAUAUGAAAUUUAACGAUUUUAACACGGAUGGUUACACAAUUAUAAACCACUUGUGACUUAAUUACAAUCAUGAAACCAGUUAAUCAAAUUCAUGAUCAUUUAGCUCUUCGUUUAGGAGUCCAAGUCUUAAAAUAUAUAGAGUGCGUUUAAAUUUACGAAUUCAAGUCUCGAUGUUGGAAAGAUGUCUUUGACUGUCCUUGACUUCCAAGGACAUUAUGGCUCUAUUAGUAAAGACCAAAAUAAAUGUCGGGAAAUGUCAAGAGAGGGGAGAAGAAUAGGUGGAAAAACGGCACGAAUUUUGGAGGCGAAACAGAUGGAUAGAGCGAUGUUCAUUUAAUGUCCUUGAAUUUCAUAAAAAUGGAAAUGAAGAUGUGACGUUUCAUUGGAAGAGGGAAAAAGCUUCACCUAAACCAAACAUGGCAUGUGAGUUUAAUGUCUUUUCUCUUUCUUUUUUUUUUAUCUUUCUUUUUCACCGAACUUGGUCACAUGCUCCCUCUAUCAUAACCUCUAAUUUCUCAAAGAACAUACUCUAUCCUUUCAUAUUAAGCGUUAUAGAUAAAAAAAAAAUUUGUUAUAAAAUACUUCCUCUAUUCCUAAAUAUAUGAUGUUUAAAAGAAUUUUGAUGUUCUAAUAUAUGAGAUGUUUUCAUUUUUUUAGGUAAUUUUUUACUUUAUUAAAAAAUGUGUAACUAAUCAUAUUUGAUCAUCUAUUUUGUAAUUGGUUGAAUAACAUUAAUUUAUAGUUUUAAUGAUAUUUUCUAGACAAAACAAUGAUUUUUUUAAUAUGUGUGUUUUUACAUAAACAUCUUAUAUUUAAGAACACGAGGAGUAAGUGUUAUUUUCGACUUUCAAUGCAAAACUUAUUGAUUUUAUUCAGUAAUUUUAUUUUUAUAUUGGUUGAAAUAUGGUUAGAUGUAUAGAGAAUUGUGUUUUUAUAUAGAAAAUAUAUAAAAUUAAUGGUUUUCUUAAUCUGUAUGCAAAAACCUAAAAUGACAUUUAAUAUGAAACAGAUAGAGUAAGAGUUUUCUAAUUAUUCUUGUGAAUAGGUAGGCAUGGUUAUCAAAAAACGAUGAAAGAUCUUUAGUUUAUUUUCUACUUGAUAUUUGUGAUUAUGUUUCAAAGGAUAGAAACCGUAUCUGUAGAGCUUUUUGGUUUGCUAUUUAGUUAGUUACUAUAUUUGUAAAAAUAAGAUGGAUUUUUAGCUUCUUAUUAGGAUAAAAGUUUAUCACUAUUAGGCACAUGUUCUAGAUAUUUACUGAAAUAAAAGAUAGAGUCGAAUGGUUGAGUUUUUUUUCGAAUGGUUGAGUAUUUGAAGAAAUAUAGACAAAUUGAAACUCAAUGAAGGGAUGGGAGAAAAAUCUAUAGAGGUGUGAAGAGGAGAGGAUUGGGUUGAAAAGUAGGGUCUGUUUCCUUGUGGAGAUCAUAAUUAUUUGGAUGCCACUCUGCUAAUCAUUAAUGCCUUCAUACCCACCCACAUGUUCCCCCUACAUGUAAUUCCAGUCAAUUUUGUUGGACAAAACCCAAACACAAAGCAAUAUCAAUGGUAAGCUAACCACUAUUCUCAAAUCAUUGUUUCUUAAGUCGUUCACUUCUCUUUUUUGGAUCUCUUUUUUAUGAUUGCCAUUACCAAUUGCUUGUCCUUAACCCCUUACAUCUUGUCUAUGCCAGUUUGGUUGAAGUCAUAUAUUUGCGUGCUUUCAAUUUAUCGACAUAAGUUUGCACAAGCUACAAGCACGAACAAAAUAACAUAAAUUUUGUCGACGGUGACAAUACUGAAAAGUUGAAAGUCCAGAGUAACCUGCUGGAGGUCAAUGUUAUUAGCAUUUCACAUUGCGCUUUUAGUUAAUCCAAAUCAAAAGAUAUUGCAAACAAAAUUUCGAUGUUGGGACUAGUGCCAUUGGAUAACUUUCGUUUAUAUAUGUAGUAGUAUUAUUUUGUUAUAUUUUUGAGGAAUCUUAUUCUACAUUAACUUUUAAAGAGGAGUCUUGUCGCUAAAAACAAAGAAAAAGAAGAGUCUUGUCAACCACCUUAUUGCAAAUUUUAAGAGUUGGAUUGGACAUGGCUUUCAGAGAUCAUGUGAGCUUUUGGGACCCAAUUCCUUAAUUAUUGAUUCUCCAUUUCUCACAUAUAUAUAAAUGUUUUUGUAAUUAAAUAUUGACAAAUAGCACUACAAUCCUUUGUGUCAUAGGAAUUCCACUAUCAUAACAGAUUUUUUUUCUUGUACGAACGGUUAUGGUCAAACUAUAAGAGAACAAUCUUUCGUAUUAAUAAAUCUUGUGACAACAAAAGUGUUGUGAACAAAUGCAAAUCAAAACUCGAAAAAAAACAAAAAGUAAAAAUGAUUAAGGCAGAUAUUCGUUUUUUUUUUUUUUUUUUUUUUUUUUUAAAUUUGUGAUUAUAUGAAUAAAUAACUUUACAAUCCGUUAGAUUCAUGUUUACAGCAGUUUUAAAAAUUGAUUUUUCCUUCUUUUAAGAAUACAUACAUUACUGGUGUACUAAGAUUAGACACUUUUAGAUGUAUCAAGAAAGAUAAAAGUUAGAAUGAUAUGUUGGUCAAGUUAGUCCAUUUAUAUUCGGUAUAAUCCUUGGCUAUUGCCGCUGCAUAAGAUUAACUGGAAACUAAUGAUCAAACCCGUAUGUUGUGGCCAACCAAAUCUUGUAGAAUGGGUCAAACAACUAAAAAUUGGACUAAUUUCAUACUUGAAAGAACCUUAUUAACCACUAUGGGCAACAACUUUCAGGGGCUCUAAAACAAGUAGCCGAAGCUUCAAAAGCUUCUUUCGUAUCCAAUUAUGAGCAAAGAAUGCAGGACUAGACCAAAUAAUAGCCACAAAGGUUUCCAUUUGUUAUAUUUCAUUCACAUAUUACCUUCUACAUAUAUCAACGUUAAAUUAUAAAUCCUUAAAUUAUAUGGUUUCGUCUUUAGUGUUCAGCUACUUUAUAAAAGCUGUUUCUACAAAAAGAAAAUAACUUUACAAUGAGCUAUCGUUUACAUAUUCGUCCAAAGCUGGCCGUACGGACAGGCCAACGAGAAGCCACUAAUGUAUAUGGUUUGAUGGUGUUUCAUUUCAUGCAUCAGAUAUAUAUAUCUAAAGUUGGAUUCGCAUACCUCAUAACAUACAAUUUAUUUCCCAUGUUUUUCUUUCCCCGCGAAUUUUAUUAUGUCGUCCUACUUUCUGAAUUCUCUUUAUUGUUAUUCCUUUCUUUUCUAAACAUUUUUUAAAAAUUGUAAAGCAUAUAAUAAUAUAUUUUCCUUCGAGAUAACUUACCUAUAUAUGUGUGUCUCAGUUUGUAGGGUUUGCAGAUCUGCAAGACGAAUGUAUAUUGUUGGUUGCAUUUAUAUUAAUCAAAUUGAGAUCACUGGUAUAAGACUAGAAACUUGCCAACAAUUAAGCAUAUAUAGAGAAUAAUAAAUUUGCUUGAAAGUUUUUUUUUUGUGAAUAAAAAAAUGUUUUAUUUUGUGUGAAAAAAGAAAAAAAUAAAUUGUUGGUAGGUGGAAGCCUAAAGUUUUUGUUCAAUAACAUUAUGAAAUACUAGUAUUCUUUCUUUUUUGAACAAAUACUAGUAUUCAAUAUAGAGCACGUUUGUAUAUAUUUCAUGUCAGAUGUAGAAUCUAACAAUUGGUAAAGACAUAUCUGAAUACUAUAAAACUUAGAUUUAUGGAAGAAAAAAGUGAAGUUGUUCUUGUUUUUAUCAGAAACUGAAACCCAGUAGUACUGUCACUUGCCAUUAAGCAUUUCUCAUUAGUUAUUUAUAAACCGACAAUUAACAAAACUUGCCAAAUUUUAGGCGAGAAAAGACAUAUAAAAUACGUGGACAUCACAUGUUUCGACACAUAGGCGUUUUGUUGUUAUGGUCGUUUGCAUGUAAAAUGUGUCCCUCUUUUUUGUUUGCGUGAAAAUUCUCAUUUAUUUUUCGUGUUCAGUUCAAACUACUUUUUUCGUUCCAAAAAAGUGCAUAUUUAAAAAAAAAAUUAUUUAAAAACACAUAUUUUAUAUUUUCAAUACAAUUUUUAUCAAUUAAUAAUGAAAAAUUACGAAGUUCAAAAACAUUAAUUGUAUUUUAACGUUUUAUUAGUUUAAAAAUAUAGAAAAUAUAAAAUUAUAAAAAAAUAUGCAUUUAUAACAAAAUUUUAAUAUAUUUUAUUAAAAAAUGCGAAAAUUUUAAAAUAUGUAUUAUUUUAAAACGGAUGAAGUAUAUUUUAAAGGUUUUGUUUGCUUUCGACUAAAAGUUUUGUUCAAUUAUCAUCCAUCCUGUUAUUAUAUGUCAAAAGAAAUUUAUUUUUGUUUAGCAAAAUGUAUGAUAUGACACAUUUUUGGUAUUACUAUUACCACGUUAACUAUACUCUUUGAAAGUGUUGAAAACAAGAAAAUCAGUUUCAGUUAUUUCUUGCUCUCUUUCGGAAAGAACAUAUCAAAAAUAUUCUCGAUAAAAAACAACAUCAAAUUCAAAAUUCAUUAUAUAGCUAGCGUAUCAUAGGAAAAAAGGUUCAUAAUCAAACGAGUGAAAGGCGAUAAAGUAUAUAGAUGAAAGACUUAUUCUUGGAUGAACAAACCAACCGAUUGUGUUAUUUCAUAUUCGAUAUCUUAAAAAAAAAGAAACAAAAUAUUGACAAAUUAUAUUAUUUUUUUAAAAUUAAAAGGUAAAAAUAAAUAAAUAAAAAAUAGUAGUAAUUACAAAAAAAAAAUAUUUUUAACGUCAUCAGCAAAACAUUAAACCUUAAAUCCUAAUCUCUAAACCCUAAAUCCUAAACCCUAAACCCUUGGAUAAACCCUAAACUCUAGGAUAAAUCUUAAACUCUAGGAUAAAUCUUAAACUCUAAAUCAAAAUCACUAAACACUAAAUCACUCAAGGGUUUAGGGUUUAUGAUUUAGGGUUUAGAGUUCUACGGUUUAAUGUUUUUAUUUAGAGUUUAUGAUUUAUCCAAGAGUUUAGGGUUUACCCUAGGGUUUAGAGUUUAUCCAAGGGUUUAGGGUUUAUCCAAGGGUUUAGGUUUACCCAAGAGUUUAGGGUUUAGAGAUUAGGAUUUAGGGUUUAGUAUUUUGUUGACGACGUUAAAAAGAUUUUUUUUUAAUCUUUUUUCUGUAACUGCUAUUUUUUUUUUAUUUUAAAAACAUAAUAUAACUUGAUAAUAUUUUGUUUUAUUUUUUAAAAGAUAUCAAAUUUGAAAUAAUGAAAUCUUAUUGGCUGGUGAAUCUAGAGGUGGGUGAACCCAAGAAUAACUCUAGAUUAAAUGCGCGUGCGGGGAGAUUGCAAACUAUUAAGUCGAAUCUCAAUACGACGUCGGGUAUCUAACCACAAAAAUAUCUCAGCUCUCAAUAAGUUUCAUUGAAGGUACAUCAACCUCAGAUUAAAUUACAAAAGUAUAUAAAGAAUAGAAGAAGCUCAUAGUUUUAAUUUAUAGCAAGGCAAACAUUUUUUUUCUUUGGUGUGAAGUGAAAAAUUAUCGAUGUUUCUAAUAUCGUUCUUGUUUUUUUUCUUCUAUAAAUCAAAACUAUGAGUUCUUAUAUGCUUUAGUUAUUGUACUUAGGCAUAAUUAAUCGGGAAAACAAAACAAUUCAAUAAUCCUUGCAGAUUAAUUUAAUCUUCAGACAUAAUACAAUAGGUUUUGGGUUUUAAUAUUUAAACAAACAUACAUUAAAAGUAGAGCCUCCGUGGUUCAUAUAUGCAGAAGGAAUAUCUCGGAUCCAUUUUUGGUACCAGCGAAUAAGGUGUUAAUUUAUAUUUAAUCACAUCUACUAGAGAGCCUAACGUGGAAUUAACAUAACCACGCAAAGAUAACUUACUUGUUAAAUCUUUUUAAUUUAAGUUUACCGACCAUCGAAACGUACUUCAAGAAUUCGAACAAAAGAUAAUGCGAGCAACUCUUAUAAGCAUCAAAUAACUCCAAACUGCAUACUAAAUUUUAUCACCAAACCAUUUCAAAAACUUUAGAGAUCCUUUAGUCAGACGUCAUCAAUAUAUCAUUCAAACCAAUGGGCUAGUGAUCGUACCGGCAGUGGUUUUGCUCAAGGAGGCGUGGGCACUCGGUUUGGUUGUUUGUUUUCGAAUUCUAGGAAAUAGGUCUAUAUAAAAUCAGAUGACAUUUUAGUGUGAUUUUAAAUUUAGAAAAUACUCCCUUUUGUUUCAAAAUACAUAAAAUUUGAGAUUGGGACACAAAUAUUAAAAAACUUGUUUUUUAUCUAAAAAGUAUCAUUAAAAUAUACAUUAAAAAUUAUUCAACUAAUCAUAAAACAUACUACAAAAUAUAAUUGGUUACACAGUUUUUGAUAAAGUUAAAAUGUACCUUAAAAUAUAAAAACAUCAUCUAUUUUGAAACAUCAAAAACUCCAUAAAACAUCAUCUAUAGUAUUUUUUUCCAAUGCAUUCUUUAAAGCAAUGGCUAGAAAUUUACGAUUAACUAAAAAAUUGUGACUUGAUUUAUAUCAGCUAUAUAUUUUGUUAUAAAUAGCGUCAAUAUUGAAAAAUUAAUAUAAUUAUUGAAUUCACACAUAUACUUAGAAUUAUAUAGUUAGCUCUUUGGUCGAAAUACUGAAGAUAUUUUGGCUAAAAUGGAGAAAACCUAAGCGAAAUAAACCGAAUGAUAUAUAGAGUUAAUGGUCUUGUCUGGAAAAGUUCUUCAAAAUAAAGGAGCCACUGUAGUUAAGGUUGAAACUUCAAAGCAAUAAAAAAAAUGUACACUUCAAAGCUCACGUCUCUAUAAUAAGCAUGACUCGUCACGUGACUUCCUCUCCCUCGCAGGGACAGAGAUAGGAUGAGACAGAAAGAAACCAACAAAACCAUACCCCAAAACCCAAGAAAAAGAGAAACAAGACUCUCUCUCACCCCUCCCUGUUAACACCUCUCUCUCUCUCUCUAUUUAAGAGACUUCACUGUCUCUCUGAGUCUUUUAACGCAAAACAACUUUUGUGGGGGAGAGAAAGCGAGAUAACACACACACACACACAGAGAUAUACAUCUUCAAUAGUUAAGAGUUUUCUAUAUACAGAAGAAGUGGGUGUGAGAGAGAGAAGACAGAUACAAAAAGUUUAACAUCUUCCCCUCUCUCUCUCUUUCUCUGGUGGCUUCUCUUUUUCCUUUGGGUUUAGUGGUGGGGGUUCUCUCUAUAAAACAUUUCUGCAACUAUAAAUAAAUAAAAAUAAGAAUAAUCAGGUUUUAUAUAAAAUAGCAAAAGAGAUGCAACAGCACCUGAUGCAGAUGCAGCCCAUGAUGGCUGGUUACUACCCCAGCAAUGUCACCUCUGAUCAUAUCCAGCAGGUUUUCUUCUUCUUCUUCUUCUCCUUCUACUUCUUCUGCAGCUUAUAUUAUAUCAUCUCUUUGUUUAUUAUUUAUGCUUUUUGAAUUUAAUAAAUAACCUAAGUGAUGAAAACUCACUUGGAAGAUCCAGAUACACCAUUUUUUAUCCUCUCACACAACAUAUUUAAAUGAUGGAUUAUCUAAUGGGGUGUAACUAAACUGAAACUUCUAAGAUUUUGUUUUUUGGGUUCUUCUUGUUCUUGUUUUCAUGUUUAUUAAUUAGUUUUAUUUUUGUGUAGUAGUAGUGUUUGCUUGGUAGGUGUUUCUAUCUUCUUUCACCUUGUUUUCACUAGAUGAUCGAUUCAAUUUUUUUUUCCUUUGUCCAUUAAGGUUCUGUAAAUCAUUUUACAUCUCCUUAUCUUUUUAAUACGCCGGUUUGGACAGAAAUAAUUUGUCUAAAACCCGUACAAAAUAGCUAUUAAACAAGAACUUUGGUUUACCAGAGCUUGAAAAAAUUGAGGCCUAUACAUGUCCAACGGUUGAAGAGAUUCUCUUCUCUCUAUGAAAAAACAAGUUUAGGGUCCAGCUGUUUUAAGUUCUUGAAACAUGUAAUGAAAAAAAUAAUGUGUUCGAAACAGACAAAUCUUGGGAACUGAAGAUUGUUCACAUUUCAAGCUUGUCUUGGUUUUCGGGUUCUGGAAGUUUCAUUGAUGGCAAAAACCACAAAGCCAUUUAUGUGAAAUGUGGUGGUCCUGUUUAGAUUGUUAUCAUUAGAUUUAGAUCUAAUAUGUAUAAGCUCAGUCCAAGUGUUCCUUCUUUUCCUUACAUGACCAGAUAUAUAACUUUUGUGGUCCUUAAGCUCCACUUUUAUGUGGUCCUUCUCAAAAUCUUUUAGAAAGAAAAUCUUUCAUACAACUUUUGCUAUGUUUCAACGUUUUUUGUCUUUUGAUAAGUCUGGAAUCUCAAGUACUGGGGUCUCCUUGAGUUUCUUAUGUCUUUAUUCCAACAAAAGAAAAUAUCAAAUCUUUGUUUAUAGAUUCUGUUCGUACCGUACCAUUACUGAUUAAUGAAGGUUAUGAUGUUCUUAAUCUGUAGUACUUGGAUGAGAACAAGUCUUUGAUUCUGAAGAUAGUUGAGUCUCAAAACUCAGGAAAGCUCAGCGAGUGUGCCGAGUAAGAUUAAACAUAUCUCCUUGAUUUUCACUUGUGUUUAAAAUAUGAUCAUAAGGUUAAAUAUUUUGUUACAGGAAUCAGGCAAGGCUUCAACGCAACCUCAUGUACUUGGCUGCAAUAGCAGAUUCUCAGCCUCAACCUCCAAGCGUGCAUAGCCAGGUAAACAAUUAAAUCACAAGAGUACUCAAAUUUUCUGCAUAAUACUGAAAAAAUCAUUGGUAUUGUUGGCAGUAUGGAUCUGCUGGUGGUGGGUUGAUUCAGGGAGAAGGAGCGUCACACUAUUUGCAGCAGCAACAGGCGACUCAACAGCAGCAGAUGACUCAGCAGUCUCUUAUGGCAGCUCGUUCUUCAAUGAUGUAUCAGCAGCAGCAACAGCCUUAUGCAACGCUUCAGCACCAGCAGUUGCACCAUAGCCAGCUUGGGAUGAGCUCUAGCAGCGGAGGAGGAAGCAGUGGUCUCCAUAUCCUUCAGGGAGAGGCUGGUGGGUUUCAUGAAUUUGGCCGUGGGAAGCCGGAGAUGGGUAGUGGUGAAGGCAGGGGUGGAAGCUCAGGGGAUGGUGGAGAAACACUCUACUUGAAGUCAUCAGAUGAUGGGAACUGAAAGAGUGUUGCACAAGUAAGGUCCAGUGAAGAAGCAGCAGCAGAAGUAGUAGUAGUAAGAGUUUGAAGUUUGUUUGUUUUGGUUUAGUUGCUUGUUGAAGAAGCAACGAAUUCGUAUUUACGUUUUAGUGUUUUUAUUUAUUUCUGUGUUUGUUCCCUAAAAUUAUGAACUCUUACGUGGUGUAGUGUACCAUGCAUAUCUGCUCGCUACAAGUUAUGUCGUAAUCUUAGUAUGUUAUUUCUUAGAGCAAUAAUUUCUUGAGAUCAUUGUUUGUGAAAUGUGACGUAGUUUGAAUUUGAACUUGGUUUGGUUUAGUAGGUUGUGGUUGAUGUGCGGAGACCGAGUUCAACCACAACCUUUCUUAAUGACCAAUUAUUUACACGUAACAACAUACUUCGAAGUAUGUACAUAAACUUUAUUGACCCUAUUACCUUUUUAGCUAUUAAACCAUAAUACACGCUUUGUUUAUAAUGCUCACUAGAUAUUUCACGUAGAUUUUCAUUUUAUGAAUAUAUAAUAGAUACCAUCGCAAAACUUUAAAACACAUGAUUUACAUUUUAGUGUUAUAUAUUGUGUAAAUCUAUAAUGUUAUUGGUUAUGUUUCUUAUUCGAUAUUAUUAAUGUAUAAUGAUUUAUUUUAUAUAUUUUAUUUUAUUAUUAAUUGUUAUUAUAUAUUAGUAUAUUUUCAAGUUCGGUAAAAUAAAUUCAUAGUAUGAAAUAAAAAAAAUUGAGAAUCUCCUUCAUUUUUUUCUAAUUUUUACCGACUGUAUACAAUACAUUUUAAAAUUUUAUUUAGUCAUACUAUAAAACUGAUAUUUUCUUAGCAUAAUUUAUAUUUCUAUGUUAUUUAUUUUAGUAUAUUGUGGGAUUUUAUAAGUAAAUACAUUAUAAUAAUACUAUAUUAUUAAUUAUGAAAUCAAUAACUGCAUUAAUUUUAAAAUAUUUUAAAAUUUUAUUAAGAAUUUGUUAGGUUUUUUCAACAUAUUUUGUUAUAAGUAAAAAUAAAAUUUAAAUUUAUAGUUAAAAUUUAUUUAUUAAUAUAUAUAUAAUUUAUAAGAUUUUUUUGAAGUUAUAUAUUAAAUAGAUUAACUUAAAUAGUCAGCGUGGUUCAAUACAAUCAUCUCUUUUCUUUACUCUAACCUCUCUCUAGAAACUUCCUAACUGAGGACGAUCGUCGGUGGCCAGUGGUUCUUACCGCCGGUUACCAUCUCUUUUUUUGUUUUUUGAUUGUAUAUAUUCGAUCUGUUUGAUCGAUUUUCACUUCCGGUUGCGGACUUUACUUUUCGCUAGGCGAUUUUGAUGUGCUUAGAGUCAAUUGAUCAGAGCAGUUUAUCAAUCACUUUCUUUUUCUGAAUCAUUUUGACUCUUAUAAUAAAGAUCCCAUCUUUGGAUCGGUUUAGUUCUAAGCUUCCUCUCUUUGAAGAUUUCAUACCCCUACUGCUUUCGUUUGGUCUUCCUCUUCCCGUUGGUCAUCCUUUACCUUCAUCUUUAAGGAAAUCAAUCUUUGCUUCGAUGUUAUAAGCAAAGUCUUCCGAGAAGUUGAAAAGUUGAGCUUUGCAAGAUGUCUAGAUGAUUUACUUCGGUUUUAGAUGAGUUGAAGCUUGCUUCUGAUUGCAAGUGUUUCAACAAAAACUGUUGGUGAAUCGUUUUAAGUUGAAAUUAAUCAAUGGUAUUAAUUUAAAUAAAAUAUUUUAAAUUUCUAAAAAGAUUUUAUUAGAUUUUUUCUCAACAUUUUGUUAUAACUAAAAAUAAAAUUUAAAUUUACAGUUAAAAUUGAUUUAUUAUUAAUAUCUUUAUAUAUUGAAUAUAUUAAUAUAAAUAAUUAAAUAAAUGAAAUUAAUGAAAUGGACCUAGUAUGACUUUUUUAUGGUAGAUAAAAAUGGUCAUUCUCUUUUAAUAGAGAAGAUUAAUAUCUAUAUAAUUUAUAAUAUUUUUUAGAAGUUAUAUAUUAAAUAGAUUAACUUAAAUAGUCAAAUAUAUGUAAUUGAUGAAAUAGUCCUAGUAUAAAUUUUUAUGAUAUUUAUUUUAAUAAAUAAGAUAUAGAAUAUAAUUAUAAAAUUUGAAAAAUAGCAUACACUUUUAUCUUAUUUUUUUAUAAUAAAAUUUUAUUUAAAUUAAUUUAUAAUAGUAUAUAUUAUUAAUUAUGAAAUUAAUCAAUGGUAUUAAUUUAAAUAAAAUAUUUUAAAUUUUUAAAAAGAUUUGGUUAGAUUUUUUCUCAAUAUUUUGUUAUAUCUAAAAAAAAAUUUAAAUUUAAAUUUAAAAUGAUUUAUUAUUUAUAUAUUGAAUAGAUUAAUAUAAAUAAUUAAAUAAAUGUAAUUAAUGAAAUGGAUCUAGUAUAAUUUUUUAUGGUAGAUAAAAUUGGUACUUCUCUUUUAACAGAGAAUAUAUCUUUUAGUUUGAUAUUUACCAAGAUUUUAUUCACCGCAAGUAUCUUUUAAAUAUCUUCAUUUUUUUCUAUCUUUGAAGGACCCUAAGAUCGGCUCACUCGAAUGGAUCAGAUUUGGAUAUGAACUCCGGAUGGAGAACAGAAUGGAUUGAAGGGUCGCACGAAGGUUGCGGAAAGGCCUUCGAUAUUCCCGACUCCAAAUGGUGCUUGAUAUGACUCACAAGACCACCAAGUGAAGGAUCUCCCGUCGUUGCUUGAUAUGACUCACAAGACCAACGAUUUGAGGAAGUGUUUACUUGGAUAUGACUCACCAAGAAACUAAGAACAAGUUCUAAACGAAGAACAAAGAGUUUUAACUCAAAAGUUUUAGACAAAAUCGAUUUCUCAUUUAUUAAAAUGAAAGAGUUUCAUACUUAUAGAGUUUUGUAGAUCUAGGAAUUAAAUAUGUUCAGAUAAAAAUGGUCAUUCUCUUUUAAUAGAGAAGAUUAAUAUCUAUAUAAUUUAUAAUAUUUUUUAGAAGUUAUAUAUUAAAUAGAUUAACUUAAAUAGUCAAAUAUAUGUAAUUGAUGAAAUAGUCCUAGUAUAAAUUUUUAUGAUAUUUAUUUUAAUAAAUAAGAUAUAGAAUAUAAUUAUAAAAUUUGAAAAAUAGCAUACACUUUUAUCUUAUUUUUUUAUAAUAAAAUUUUAUUUAAAUUAAUUUAUAAUAGUAUAUAUUAUUAAUUAUGAAAUUAAUCAAUGGUAUUAAUUUAAAUAAAAUAUUUUAAAUUUUUAAAAAGAUUUGGUUAGAUUUUUUCUCAAUAUUUUGUUAUAUCUAAAAAAAAAUUUAAAUUUAAAUUUAAAAUGAUUUAUUAUUUAUAUAUUGAAUAGAUUAAUAUAAAUAAUUAAAUAAAUGUAAUUAAUGAAAUGGAUCUAGUAUAAUUUUUUAUGGUAGAUAAAAUUGGUACUUCUCUUUUAACAGAGAAUAUAUCUUUUAGUUUGAUAUUUACCAAGAUUUUAUUCACCGCAAGUAUCUUUUAAAUAUCUUCAUUUUUUUCUAUCUUUGAAGGACCCUAAGAUCGGCUCACUCGAAUGGAUCAGAUUUGGAUAUGAACUCCGGAUGGAGAACAGAAUGGAUUGAAGGGUCGCACGAAGGUUGCGGAAAGGCCUUCGAUAUUCCCGACUCCAAAUGGUGCUUGAUAUGACUCACAAGACCACCAAGUGAAGGAUCUCCCGUCGUUGCUUGAUAUGACUCACAAGACCAACGAUUUGAGGAAGUGUUUACUUGGAUAUGACUCACCAAGAAACUAAGAACAAGUUCUAAACGAAGAACAAAGAGUUUUAACUCAAAAGUUUUAGACAAAAUCGAUUUCUCAUUUAUUAAAAUGAAAGAGUUUCAUACUUAUAGAGUUUUGUAGAUCUAGGAAUUAAAUAGAAAACUAGAUCUAGAUCUAGAUCUAGUCAAUACACGGAAAUAAAGAGAUAAGCUAGUCAAAGUGACCGUUCGGCUUCUGUCCAGAUGCAUCCGAACCGGCUAAGUCCAAAGCAGUAAGGAUCAGCACAUAGGCGGGACGAUCAGCAAGGGCCGCGGGACGUUCUGAUCGGACAAGUUGUGUUCCAACAAAGCCCAAGUCUUCUGAUAGCUUAAGGAUCCUUGCCUUAGAGAAAUUUCCAAAGGAAAAGUCCAUGAUCGGAUCGAACAAGGUAGAGAGAUCAUCACCACGGUCGUUGGUACAUGCGGUACGAGCCAAUCGAGCCAAAAGAGAGAAGUCUCGAUCAUUUUGUGAAACCUCAUGAUCCAAGUCAAGUCUGACAUGAUCNNNNNNNNNNNNNNNNNNNNNNNNNNNNNNNNNNNNNNNNNNNNNNNNNNNNNNNNNNNNNNNNNNNNNNNNNNNNNNNNNNNNNNNNNNNNNNNNNNNNAAAUGAAAAGAUAUAAAAAGAUUUUAUUCAUAUAUAAUUUUAGAGUAAAUAUAGGAAUAUCUAUUUGAUUUGUUUUUCUUAGAACAAUUCAAAUCAUUUAAAUAUUUAUACAAAAAUUAAUUUUAACAACUUUCUAAAGGGUGAUCCAAAUUAAAAAAUCACACAUGAAUUAAGUCAUGAAUUCUCUUUUAAUAGAAUAGAUGUUUUCAGACUUGCAUGAAUGUAUGUAUAAUUUAUAAACCACAAUCUAGCCUGGCCAACCACGACCCUAAAUUAAUCAAUACCACUUUUUGUAUGAAUAAAAUUGGUCGUUUUUUGCUUGCUCUAGAAAAUUGCUUUAGUAUAUUAUUAAUAUGAACCUCAUAACAUGUUCCACAUCCUUUUCCAUUGUUGAAUAGUGAAGGGCCUCCGGCUGAAACCAUCGCGUAUAGCGGUGGAUUUGCCACUGCCACGCCAUAUUCACAAGCUCCUCCUAUUGACAUAUAUUUACAUUAUCAAACAAACAUAUUUUUUGAAGAUAAAAUAUUUAUAUAUAUGUAGUUUCAAAUUUUAAUAAUACGUACCGGUGCUACCUGCUCACUCUGGUUCACCGUACCAAGUAGCACCAGCGUCUGCGUCGGCCCAGCCAGCGGCAUUUAUUUUUUUCAUUCUGGCAAUAACAAAACUUAAAGGAGGCUGCAAAAAGAGUUAAAAGGGCAAAGCAUCUAUGGAAUGGUGCCUUUUUUUUUUUUUUUUUUUUUUUUUUUUUANNNNNNNNNNNNNNNNNNNNNNNNNNNNNNNNNNNNNNNNNNNNNUGAAGAUUUUCUUCUAUUUAAAGCAUGAAAAAAAAAACAAGCCAUAAGGCCUUAGUUUUUGGGCUGCGCCCUAUUACAAAAAAAGGCCGAAGCCCACAUUAGAGAAAAAAACCAGUGGAUAAAAGAUGAGAUAGUAGAAGCCCAGAUGACCAGAAAAAAAGAGUUACGGAUCAGAACUGAGGACUUAGUCGGUUGAUUGCAGAAGUGGUAGAGGAGGGUUUGGAGGAUAUGGUGAUGGAGCAGUUGCAAACCAGAGCUGAAUCAUCUGAGAAGCUUCGAUUGGGUUUGAGUCUCUGAAGCCAUGGAUCUUAUUUCGAAUCAUUCUGUCCAGUAUGGAAGAGAUGGUAGUGAUGAUUUUUGCAGUGUUACGGUGAAGUCGAGCAUUCCUUUCUUGCCAAAUAGAGUAGAUUACAGCUUGCCAUACAAUCAGUUGAAGCUUCCUGCGCCACGGAGGUCCUGGUAGUGAUUGCAUGUGAUUAAGAGAAUCGUUCCAGCCAGUAGAUGGGGUUGUCUCAGUCCGCCGAGCAUGAUGGAUCCAAAGUUCAGAGGAGAAUGAGCAAGAGAAGAACAAGUGGUCCCUUGAUUCGUCUCCUUGAUUGCAGAGUAGACAAGUUGCAGGAACAGCAAGUCCCCAAGAGAGAAGUCUGUCUCGGGUCGGUAGUCUAUUUAGGGUGACGAGCCAGGCGUGGAAGCUAUGUCGGGGCACACCACCAGAAUUCCAAAUAGCUCCUUUCCAAGGUAUAGUUUGCGCAUGAUUUUUCUGGAGUUUAUAGAUUGUUCCAGUCUGAUAUUUAAGCCAAACUUUACCUUCUAUUGUUCACUCAUAUUCAUCAGGGAGCUGAGACAGAGCAACCGAAGAUAAAAAUGCUUGAAUUUGAACUUGGCGAUCAGAGCGGGCCGGUCUUAUAUUCCAGUGAUCCCUGACAAACAGAUCAUAGAGUGUAGCUGAUAUGGGGAUUCCCAUCGAGUUCGCUGUAACAGGGGCCAAGAAUUUGUGGAUACUCCUAACGGGUGACCAAUUAUCCGUCCAAAAUCUGACUUCUCUUCCAUUACCAACCUUCACAGUGAUCCAAUCAUAAGCAAUGCUUCCAAGCUUGAGCAGUUUAUUGGUGAACCAAGAAUAUUUUUUCUUCUCCUUAGUGAUCCAGAAGUGCUGAGCGAUCCUUUGAGAACUUCAGCCUUAUACCACGCGACCCAGAUUGAUCCUGAGUUUGAAAAUAAGAGCCAUAUGAGCUUAAGGGAACAUGCUUUAUUCCAAGCAACAAGGUCACGACACCCCAAGCCACCUUCUUCCUUGGCCAGAGUAACGGUUUCCCAUGAAACCCUCGCCGAGUGGCUUCCUUCAGCGCUGCCAUGCCAUAAAAUUGCUCCACAGAGAGAGUUAAUCUUUGAGAUACAUGCUUUUGGCAAGACGAAAGUGGAGGACCAGAAGUUAGUGAUCCCCGAUAUCACAGUGUUGAGUAGAAGGAGCCGUCCAGCGAAUGAGAGGGAGCGAGUACUCUAAGAGUUAACUUUGUCUUUGAUGUGCUGGAGGAGAGGAGCGCAGUUAUGGAGGGAGAGCUUCUGGGAACAGAGGGGGAUGCCAAGAUACCUGACUGGUAAAGAACCAUGAGUAAGGCCCGUGGUAGCUCCAAUAAGGUCGAUUUGGUCUUGAGACAAACCCGAAGACACGAAGGAGGUUUUCUGGAUACUGGCUGUAAGACCGGAGUGAGCUGCAAAUUCAUUGAGGAUUGAGAGAACUCCUUGGACAGAGCUCAGCUUACCAUCUGUGAAAAUGAGAAGGUCAUCAGCAAAACAGAGAUGAGUAAGCUUUGAGGAUUUGCAUUUCUCAUGGUAUCCAAAGACGCCAUUCUCAGCUCCUUUAUUGAGCAUCAAGGACAACCACUUCAUCGCUAUGACAAAGAGAUAAGGAGACAGAGGAUCUCCUUGUCUCAAUCCUCGCUUUCCUUUGAAGAAACCUUGAAUUGUGCCAUUGUAUCCAACCGAGAAGGAUGGGGUACACACACAACUCCUUAGCCAGUAAAGGUACGUGGAGGGGAGCCCUAGGGAGGACAAACAUAUGAACAAGAAGUUCCAGCUCAGUGUAUCGAACGCUUUAGCAAUGUCUACUUUGAGAGUUAUACGGGGAGGUCCUUUGUUCUUUUGAUAACCGUCAACAAGCUCAGUGGCCAGAAUCGUAUUUUCAACCAGCAACCGUCCUUGGAUGAAUGCGGUUUGAUUGGGGAGGAUCAGCUUAGGAAGUAUCUGUUUAGCUUGGAGACUAGGAUUUUUGAGAUUGCCUUGUAGAGAGUUGUACAGCAUGAGAUGGGCCGAUAGUCGGUGAUAGCGGAUGCACCAGGAUGCUUCGGUACGAGGGUGAGGAUGGUGGCGUUGACACUGGUGGGAAGGAAGCGUGUCCUAAAGAAGGUAGCUAGAGAGGAGACGACAUCUUCUCCCACAAUUGACCAAGCCGAUUUGAAGAAUCCGGAGGUAAGACCGUCGGGACCAGGAGCUUUAUGAUCUAAAUUUGUUUCGUUUAAAGAAAUUUCUGUAAUAUCAAUAGCUAGAUGUGAAUUCGAUUCAUAAUAUGAUAGUAUAAUGUGUUUUUGGGAGUAGUUCUUUGGAUUCAGUGUAUAGGAGAUCGUAUAAUUGACAAUAUUAGGAUGUAGAAAUGUAAAAUGGAAUUAGUAGGAUAAAAAGGAAUGGAAUAUAGAGAAACAUGGAAUAUAUUUCAUUCCAUUUAUUCAUGAUUAAGAUUGGAAUGAAAUAAGUUUCUUUGAAUUUUCUUUUAUUUUUAUGGAAUUGAUGGAAUAAACAUUAUAUUCAUUCAUUACAAAUGGUACAAGAAUUUAUGGUAUAAAUAAAAUAGAGAAUUUUAUAUUAUUUUAUUCUAAAAAUUGGCAUUCUAGUUUUGGAACUUAUGGAAGUAAGUUAAGCUUCUCUGUAGAAGCCGGAAAACCGGAUUAAAAGAAACGAUAUAAUAUAAACGAUGUUAAGGAAAAUAUGUAUAGAUGAUUCGAAACCGCAACGAAAAUGAAAGCAUGGAGUGGAGACGAAUCUCUUUCCUUAACUCUUAAUAUUCGCUCCGUUAGUGCGACGGAUCUGUAUGAAUAUGAGUCCCAGGAUAAAACCAUGACAGGUUAUCACGCGGCACUCGUGAAAAACCUCUACGAACCAAUAUUUCUACGAAACACUCUCUAGAACUUACGCUAAAGGAUUUGCUGGUUUUUGUUGCG